UGGGAACAUUUCCAACCUCAGCCGUGUGUUUGAAGUGAAGCUAGCGAUCAACCGUCUGGCACAAGAGGACAUGGAGUUCACUAAGCACUUGGGGAGGUUCAGGUCCUUAUGGUCAGAGCUGGAGAUGCUGAGGCCGAGCACAACUGAUCCAGAUCAGUUGAAUGAGAGGCGCGAGCAAGACAAGGUCUUUGGUCUGCUUCUCACACUGAACCCGGCCUACACCCAGCUCAUCCAGCACAUGUUAAGGUCAGACAAGCUUCCGGACCUUGAGGAGGUGUGUGCACAAAUCCAAAGGGAGCAGGGAUCUAUGGGUUUGUUUGGAGGAAAGGGGGAGCUCUCUCUUGCCAAUCAAGCAGCUCAUGAGGAUUCAACCGAGGCUCCACAAGCAAACAAGGCGGCUCACGGGAAGUACGAGGACAGGAAGUUCAAUGGCAACUGUGAUCAUUGCAAGAAGCAUGGUCAUAAGAAGAGCCAAUGCUGGAUACUGCACCCACACCUCAAGCCGGCCAAGUUCAUGAAGGAGCGUGAGGGAAGGGCAAAUGUGACUGAAGGUUCAAGUGGAGCUGGCACCAGCAAGAUCAGUGAAGUGGAUGGGCUUGGAGGCAAUGAUGGGAAUGGGAAGUCUCUGGUGGCUUACACAGGCGCUUCAAGCUCCCGCAGCAAUGAUGACUACAUCAAGAGAUCAGACCUUGAUGCCCUCUUCAAAAUGCUAAAGGAAAACGGUAACACUUACGGUUAUUCCUUUGGAGCUUCUAUGAUUGCAUAUAAGGAUGAUCACUUGAUUAGAGAACUAGUAGAACGGUUAGAAGCUAGGAAUGGGUAUAGACAUGCUUACAUUGCUAGAACUGAUAAGAUGCAUCCAUCACUUAGUAAUCUAUGCCAUAAUGCUAAACGAGUAAGUAAACCAUUGAUUGUUGAUUCUGGUGCAUCACAUCAUAUGAUAAGUGAUGAAAACUUGAUUAAGGAUAUAGAACCUACACAUGGUCAUGUGAUGAUAGCAAAUGGGGAUAAGAUACCCAUUAGAGGAAUAGGAAAGCUUAAGCUGUUUAACAAAGAAUCUAGAGCUUUUUACAUGCCUGAAUUCACAUCAAACCUAUUAUCAGUGAAGAAAUGUACUAAUGAUUUACAAUGCAAUGUUAUCUUUAGUCCUAAUGAUGUGAAGUUUCAGGAUAUUGAGAGCAGCAGAUUGAUUGGGAAAGGGGUGACUAAGGGAGAUCUCUAUAUGCUUGAAGAACUCACUUCUGUUCCUGAUUAUAGUUGCUCGUUUACUUCUGCUUCUUUGUUGAAUAAAAAUGCAUUGUGGCAUGCUAGAGUAGGACACCCUCAUGUUAAAGCUUUGAACUUAAUGGUACCAGGUGUUGUGUUUGAGAACAAGGAUUGUGAAGCUUGUAUUUUAGGCAAGCAUUGUAGAACUGUGUUUCAAAAGUCUACUACCGUUUAUGAUAAUUGCUUUGAUCUAAUUCACUCUGAUGUGUGGACUGCCCCUUGCCUAUCUAGAGAUAGUUAUAAGUACUUUAUGAGAUUAAGAGAUCUUUAGAGUGAUUAGAGUAAAGAGAGUGUUUAUAAGGAUUGUGAAGCUUGCAUUUUAGGCAAGCAUUGUAGAACUGUGUUUCAAAAGUCUACUACUGUUUAUGAUAAUUGCUUUGAUCUAAUUCAUUCAGAUGUAUGGACUGCCCCUUGCUUAUCUAGAGAUAGUUAUAAGUAUUUUGUCACAUUCAUUGAUGAAAAAUCCAAAUACACCUGGUUAACCUUAAUUCAGACCAAAGAUAGGGUACUUGAUGCAUUUAGGAAUUUUCAAACUUAUGUAACUAACCAUUAUCAUGCUAAGAUUAAAAUUUUGAGAUCAGAUAAUGGAGGAGAGUACACGAGUCAUGCAUUCAAGCAACACCUAUCACAACAUGGGAUUCUACAUCAAACAAGCUGUCCUUAUACUCCACAGCAAAAUGGAGUGGCUGAGAGGAAGAAUAGGCAUCUCAUGGAAGUGGCAAGGUCACUUAUGUUUCAGAGUAAUGUUCCAAAGAGAUUUUGGAGUGAUGCGGUUGCCACUGCUUGUUACCUGAUAAACAGAACUCCAACCAAAGUUCUGAAUGAGAAGGCUCCAUUUGAAGUUCUGAACAGGUACAAGCCAGCUCUUGAUUACUUGCGAGUCUUUGGAUGCCUAUGCUUUGUCCUCAAACCAGGAGAGAUGAUCAACAAGCUAGAAGCAAGAAGCACUAAGGCUGUGUUCAUAGGAUACUCAGCUACACAGAAAGGAUACAAAUGCUAUGAUCCUAUAGCAAGGAGAGUUCUUGUAUCUAGAGAUGUGAAGUUCUUGGAAGAUAGAGGAUACUAUGAAGAAAAGAAUCAAGAAGACCUGAAGGACUUAACAUCAGACAAGGCCACCACCUUGCGGAUCAUUCUUGAAGGUCUUGGAAUCAGUACAUCCCAGGAUCCGAGGAAUCACGCAACUACACCUCCUGAAGUUGGUUCACCAUCCCACCUUGAUCAUGAGGGAGGAGAGGAGCAUGAGGAGCCUAUGCAAGAGGCCAACCAAGAUGAAGGAGGAGUAGAGAAUGAAGGAGAAGAGAGCAUAGGCUCGGAUGGUCAUGGACAUGAUCAUGGUGUGACACAAACACCUUCUCAAGAUGAAGUGGUAGAAGAACAACAGGAAGAAGAACCAGUUGUGCAGCCACUAAGAAGGAGUACAAGGAUAAGGAAGGAUCCUUCCAGUUGGGUAAACACGAGAGUGUACUACAAUGCCCAAGCUGUGGAGCAUCCUUCUCAAGCCGUGUGCUCCUUUGCUCAAUAUCCAGAAGCACAUUGCGCGUUCAUGGUAAACUUGGAUGAGAAUCACAUCCCAAGAAGCUAUGAAGAAGCAAUGAAAGAUAAAGAAUGGAAGGAAUCAGUUGGAGAUGAGGCAGGAGCGAUGAUCAAGAAUGAUACAUGGUAUGAGAGUGAGUUACCAAAAGGGAAGAAGGCUGUGACUAGUAGAUGGAUAUUCACAAUCAAGUACAAAGCGGAUGGAAAGGUUGAGAGGAAGAAGUCAAGACUAGUUGCAAGAGGGUUCACUCAAACUUAUGGAGAAGAUUACAUAGAAACCUUUGCACCAGUAGCUAAACUCCACACAAUCCGGAUUGUACUAAGCUUGGCUGUGAAUCUUGGAUGGGGGUUAUGGCAAAUGGAUGUGAAGAAUGCGUUUCUACAAGGUGAACUUGAGGAUGAAGUGUAUAUGCAUCCACCUCCAGGCCUUGAACACUUAGUAAAGAGUGGGAAUGUACUGAGAUUGAAGAAAGCCAUCUAUGGACUGAAGCAAUCACCAAGGGCUUGGUACAACAAGUUGAGCACUACUCUGAAUGGCCGAGGCUUCAAGAAGUCUGAACUAGAUCACACUCUCUUCACUCUCACGACUCCCUCAGGUAUGAUUGCUCUCCUUGUGUAUGUUGAUGAUAUCAUUAUCACAGGGAGUGAUAAGGAAGGUAUCAUAGCAACCAAGGAGUUUCUUAAAUCCAUGUUUGAGAUUAAAGACUUGGGAGAAAUGAAAUACUUCCUUGGAAUUGAGAUAUGUAGAUCCAAGGAAGGUUUGUUCAUGUCCCAAAGGAAAUAUACACUUGAUCUUUUGAAAGGUGCAGGUGCUUAUGGAGGCAAGACAGCAAGGAUGCCUAUGGAGGAUGGCUACAAAGUCCCACGAGAGGGGGAGAUUGAAGACAGCAAACCUUAUCAGGAUCCUAAACUCUAUAGAAAACUAGUUGGCAAAUUGAUUUAUCUUACUAUAACUAGACCUGACAUCUGCUUUGCUGUGAAUCAGGUGAGUCAACACAUGCAAGUGCCUAAAGAACAUCACUGGCACAUGGUGGAGAGGAUCUUGAUGUAUCUCAACGGCUCACCUGAUCAAGGAGUAUGGAUGGGCUGCAAUGGAAGCACUGAAGUGGUGGGAUAUUGUGAUGCGGAUUGGGCUGGUGAUAGAGCAGACAGGAGAUCAACCACAGGCUAUUGCACAUUCAUUGGAGGCAACUUGGUGACUUGGAAGAGCAAGAAGCAGAAGGUAGUGUCAUGUUCAAGUGCAGAAGCCGAGUAUAGAGCCAUGCUGAAGCUCACCAACGAGUUGGUAUGGAUCAAAGGCAUCUUGAAGCACUUGGAGAUCGAUCAAGCAACUCCAAUGACAAUGCAUUGUGACAAUCAAGCUGCCAUCCACAUUGCAUCCAACUCGGUGUUUCAUGAGAGGACCAAGCACAUUGAAGUUGAUUGUCACAAGGUGAGGCAGAUGAUUGUGCUAGGGGUGAUCUUGCCAUGUUACACAAGGAGUGAAGAUCAGCUAGCGGAUGUGUUCACCAAGGCUGCAAGACAGAAGACAAUGGAGUCCAUUCACAUCAGGUUGGGCCUCAUUGAUCUUGGGAAGAGAAGGAGCUAAUCCCCUUAGCUGCAAGGUCUUUACUCUUUUUCCCUCAUCAAAGUUUUAUCCCAUUGGGUUUUCUUUGGUGAGGUUUUUAAUGAGGAAGAUCUUGUGGCUGUCCAAGCUUAGACUUAUACAAAGCUAAGCUUGAGGGGGAGUGUUGAGUUGAGCUGAAUAUAUAUGUAUGAAGAGCUAAGGAGUUGAAGAGGAAAGGAGAUGAGGAAGCUUGAGAGAGUUUAGGGAGAGCAUGGUACGGACGUCCGUACAAGGCCGUACAAGCCGUACAGUCCGUACCAUCCAGCAUCGACCAAGACUUACCUUGCAUCAGCCAAGUAACACGGUAACUAAGGUAAAGGGAAGGAACUUACCUUGAGGCAUCAGACCGUUUAGGGAUAAGGUAGAGCGCGCCUUGACAGGCUGGGACAGCUGGAAAGGCAAGAGCAUCUCGGUCCAAGAUGCCAGAUACUCCGCGCAUGUGGAGAAGCUAAUUGGCUAGUCCAAAUGAGCUUAUCCUCUCCUGAUUGACCUCACAUGCUUUAGUCUUCUCUUGAUUUCGAAAACCCUUGUAUGCUCUCUCUAUAUAUUGUAACUCAUCAACCCUAAUGAAGAUUAUGCAGUUUGAGUCUCUCUAAUCUCUUAGACACUAUGCUUUUCUCUUAGACACUAAACGGCUCUAUCUAGUCUCCUAAUCUUUCACAAACUUCUCUUAAUCACUUCCUAAACACUCUCUUUAUUCUGUUUACUCUAAGGAUCUCUUAAUCUCAUAUGGUAUCAGAGCCAGGUUCAUUUGAAUCUGGGGUUUGAUCUUUAGAGAGUUACAAGCUAAACGUCUUUGAAGCUACACGCGAGUAGUCUUGAAGGUGUUGAAGCUGUGGUCCGUUCUAGUUGAAGCUGUGCUACGUUCUGUUGGUUUGCGUGAUUCUAGACUCAAGGUUGGUGUGUACGAAAUCCAAGAUCCAAGUUUUCAAGUCAAGCAAAGAUGGAACAUGGGAUGAACAUGAGGAUGAAGGUAGCGGUUACUUUCAAAGGUAGCAACUACCUUGUGUGGUCUCGGAUGGUGAAGACUGCUGUGGGAAGUAAGGGUUUGUGGGGGCACAUCACAACAGGGGAGGCUCCGAAACUCAUUACUCAGGGAGGAGAUCAAGAAGAGGUCUCCAAUGAAGCGGCUGUGGAGAAAUGGCAACAAGAAGACAUGCUGGUGAUGACGGUUCUACACGCAUCCUUGGACCCAGCUAUCUUGGAUGCCUACAGCUACUGUGAAUCAGCCAAGGAGCUGUGGGACACGCUGAAGAAGGUGUAUGGGAACACUUCCAACCUCAGCCGUGUGUUUGAAGUGAAGCUAGCGAUCAACCGUCUUGCACAAGAGGACAUGGAGUUCACUAAGCACUUGGGGAGGUUCAGGUCCUUAUGGUCAGAGCUGGAGAUGCUGAGGCCGAGCACAACUGAUCCAGAUCAGCUGAAUGAGAGGCGCGAGCAAGACAAGGUCUUUGGGCUGCUUCUCACACUGAACCCGGCCUACACCCAGCUCAUCCAGCACAUGUUAAGGUCAGACAAGCUUCCGGACCUUGAGGAGGUGUGUGCACAAAUCCAAAGGGAGCAGGGAUCCAUGGGUUUGUUUGGAGGAAAGGGGGAGCUCUCUCUUGCCAAUCAAGCAGCUCAUGAGGAUUCAACCGAGGCUCCACAAGCAAACAAGGCAUCUCACGGGAAGUACGAGGACAGGAAGUUCAAUGGCAACUGUGAUCAUUGCAAGAAGCAUGGUCAUAAGAAGAGCCAAUGCUGGAUACUGCACCCACACCUCAAGCCGGCCAAGUUCAUGAAGGAGCGUGAGGGAAGGGCAAAUGUGACUGAAGGUUCAAGCGGAGCUGGCACCAGCAAGAUCAGUGAAGUGGAUGGGCUUGGAGGCAAUGAUGGGAAUGGGAAGUCUCUGGUGGCUUACACAGGCGCCUCAAGCUCCCGCAGCAAUGAUGACUACAUCAAGAGAUCAGACCUUGAUGCCCUCUUCAAAAUGCUAAAGGAAAACGGUAACACUUACGGUUAUUCCUUUGGAGCUUCUAUGAUUGCAUAUAAGGAUGAUCACUUGAUUAGAAAACUAGUAGAACGGUUAGAAGCUAGGAAUGAGUAUAGGCAUGCUUACAUUGCUAGAACUGAUAAGAUGCAUUCAUCACUUAGUAAUCUAUGCCAUAAUGCUAAACGAGUAGGUAAACCAUUGAUUGUUGAUUCUGGUGCAUCACAUCAUAUGAUAAGUGAUGAAAACUUGAUUAAGGAUAUAGAACCUACACAUGGGCAUGUGAUGAUAGCAAAUGGGGAUAAGAUACCCAUUAGAGGAAUAGGAAAGCUUAAGCUGUUUAACAAAGAAUCUAGAGCUUUUUACAUGCCUGAAUUCACAUCAAACCUAUUAUCAGUGAAGAAAUGUACUAAUGAUUUACAAUGCAAUGUUAUCUUUAGUCCUAAUGAUGUGAAGUUUCAGGAUAUUGAGAGCAGCAGGUUGAUUGGGAAAGGGGUGACUAAGGGAGAUCUCUAUAUGCUUGAAGAACUCACUUCUGUUCCUGAUUAUAGUUGCUCGUUUACUUCUGCUUCUUUGUUGAAUAAAAAUGCAUUGUGGCAUGCUAGAGUAGGACACCCUCAUGUUAAAGCUUUGAACUUAAUGGUACCAGGUGUUGUGUUUGAGAAUAAGGAUUGUGAAGCUUGCAUUUUAGGCAAGCAUUGUAGAACUGUGUUUCAAAAGUCUACUACUGUUUAUGAUAAUUGCUUUGAUCUAAUUCAUUCAGAUGUAUGGACUGCCCCUUGCUUAUCUAGAGAUAGUUAUAAGUAUUUUGUCACAUUCAUUGAUGAAAAAUCCAAAUACACCUGGUUAACCUUAAUUCAGACCAAAGAUAGGGUACUUGAUGCAUUUAGGAAUUUUCAAACUUAUGUAACUAACCAUUAUCAUGCUAAGAUUAAAAUUUUGAGAUCAGAUAAUGGAGGAGAGUACACGAGUCAUGCAUUCAAGCAACACCUAUCACAACAUGGGAUUCUACAUCAAACAAGCUGUCCUUAUACUCCACAGCAAAAUGGAGUGGCUGAGAGGAAGAAUAGGCAUCUCAUGGAAGUGGCAAGGUCACUUAUGUUUCAGAGUAAUGUUCCAAAGAGAUUUUGGAGUGAUGCGGUUGCCACUGCUUGUUACCUGAUAAACAGAACUCCAACCAAAGUUCUGAAUGAGAAGGCUCCAUUUGAAGUUCUGAACAGGUACAAGCCAGCUCUUGAUUACUUGCGAGUCUUUGGAUGCCUAUGCUUUGUCCUCAAACCAGGAGAGAUGAUCAACAAGCUAGAAGCAAGAAGCACUAAGGCUGUGUUCAUAGGAUACUCAGCUACACAGAAAGGAUACAAAUGCUAUGAUCCUAUAGCAAGGAGAGUUCUUGUAUCUAGAGAUGUGAAGUUCUUGGAAGAUAGAGGAUACUAUGAAGAAAAGAAUCAAGAAGACCUGAAGGACUUAACAUCAGACAAGGCCACCACCUUGCGGAUCAUUCUUGAAGGUCUUGGAAUCAGUACAUCCCAGGAUCCGAGGAAUCACGCAACUACACCUCCUGAAGUUGGUUCACCAUCCCACCUUGAUCAUGAGGGAGGAGAGGAGCAUGAGGAGCCUAUGCAAGAGGCCAACCAAGAUGAAGGAGGAGUAGAGAAUGAAGGAGAAGAGAGCAUAGGCUCGGAUGGUCAUGGACAUGAUCAUGGUGUGACACAAACACCUUCUCAAGAUGAAGUGGUAGAAGAACAACAGGAAGAAGAACCAGUUGUGCAGCCACUAAGAAGGAGUACAAGGAUAAGGAAGGAUCCUUCCAGUUGGGUAAACACGAGAGUGUACUACAAUGCCCAAGCUGUGGAGCAUCCUUCUCAAGCCGUGUGCUCCUUUGCUCAAUAUCCAGAAGCACAUUGCGCGUUCAUGGUAAACUUGGAUGAGAAUCACAUCCCAAGAAGCUAUGAAGAAGCAAUGAAAGAUAAAGAAUGGAAGGAAUCAGUUGGAGAUGAGGCAGGAGCGAUGAUCAAGAAUGAUACAUGGUAUGAGAGUGAGUUACCAAAAGGGAAGAAGGCUGUGACUAGUAGAUGGAUAUUCACAAUCAAGUACAAAGCGGAUGGAAAGGUUGAGAGGAAGAAGUCAAGACUAGUUGCAAGAGGGUUCACUCAAACUUAUGGAGAAGAUUACAUAGAAACCUUUGCACCAGUAGCUAAACUCCACACAAUCCGGAUUGUACUAAGCUUGGCUGUGAAUCUUGGAUGGGGGUUAUGGCAAAUGGAUGUGAAGAAUGCGUUUCUACAAGGUGAACUUGAGGAUGAAGUGUAUAUGCAUCCACCUCCAGGCCUUGAACACUUAGUAAAGAGUGGGAAUGUACUGAGAUUGAAGAAAGCCAUCUAUGGACUGAAGCAAUCACCAAGGGCUUGGUACAACAAGUUGAGCACUACUCUGAAUGGCCGAGGCUUCAAGAAGUCUGAACUAGAUCACACUCUCUUCACUCUCACGACUCCCUCAGGUAUGAUUGCUCUCCUUGUGUAUGUUGAUGAUAUCAUUAUCACAGGGAGUGAUAAGGAAGGUAUCAUAGCAACCAAGGAGUUUCUUAAAUCCAUGUUUGAGAUUAAAGACUUGGGAGAAAUGAAAUACUUCCUUGGAAUUGAGAUAUGUAGAUCCAAGGAAGGUUUGUUCAUGUCCCAAAGGAAAUAUACACUUGAUCUUUUGAAAGGUGCAGGUGCUUAUGGAGGCAAGACAGCAAGGAUGCCUAUGGAGGAUGGCUACAAAGUCCCACGAGAGGGGGAGAUUGAAGACAGCAAACCUUAUCAGGAUCCUAAACUCUAUAGAAAACUAGUUGGCAAAUUGAUUUAUCUUACUAUAACUAGACCUGACAUUUGCUUUGCUGUGAAUCAGGUGAGUCAACACAUGCAAGUGCCUAAGGAACAUCACUGGCACAUGGUGGAGAGGAUCUUGAUGUAUCUCAACGGCUCACCUGAUCAAGGAGUAUGGAUGGGCUGCAAUGGAAGCACUGAAGUGGUGGGAUAUUGUGAUGCGGAUUGGGCUGGUGAUAGAGCAGACAGGAGAUCAACCACAGGCUAUUGCACAUUCAUUGGAGGCAACUUGGUGACUUGGAAGAGCAAGAAGCAGAAGGUAGUGUCAUGUUCAAGUGCAGAAGCCGAGUAUAGAGCCAUGCUGAAGCUCACCAACGAGUUGGUAUGGAUCAAAGGCAUCUUGAAGCACUUGGAGAUCGAUCAAGCAACUCCAAUGACAAUGCAUUGUGACAAUCAAGCUGCCAUCCACAUUGCAUCCAACUCGGUGUUUCAUGAGAGGACCAAGCACAUUGAAGUUGAUUGUCACAAGGUGAGGCAGAUGAUUGUGCUAGGGGUGAUCUUGCCAUGUUACACAAGGAGUGAAGAUCAGCUAGCAGAUGUGUUCACCAAGGCUGCAAGACAGAAGACAAUGGAGUCCAUUCACAUCAGGUUGGGCCUCAUUGAUCUUGGGAAGAGAAGGAGCUAAUCCCCUUAGCUGCAAGGUCUUUACUCUUUUUCCCUCAUCAAAGUUUUAUCCCAUUGGGUUUUCUUUGGUGAGGUUUUUAAUGAGGAAGAUCUUGUGGCUGUCCAAGCUUAGACUUAUACAAAGCUAAGCUUGAGGGGGAGUGUUGAGUUGAGCUGAAUAUAUAUGUAUGAAGAGCUAAGGAGUUGAAGAGGAAAGGAGAUGAGGAAGCUUGAGAGAGUUUAGGGAGAGCAUGGUACGGACGUCCGUACAAGGCCGUACAAGCCGUACAGUCCGUACCAUCCAGCAUCGACCAAGACUUACCUUGCAUCAGCCAAGUAACACGGUAACUAAGGUAAAGGGAAGGAACUUACCUUGAGGCAUCAGACCGUUUAGGGAUAAGGUAGAGCGCGCCUUGACAGGCUGGAACAGCUGGAAAGGCAAGAGCAUCUCGGUCCAAGAUGCCAGAUACUCCGCGCAUGUGGAGAAGCUAAUUGGCUAGUCCAAAUGAGCUUAUCCUCUCCUGAUUGACCUCACAUGCUUUAGUCUUCUCUUGAUUUCGAAAACCCUUGUAUGCUCUCUCUAUAUAUUGUAACUCAUCAACCCUAAUGAAGAUUAUGCAGUUUGAGUCUCUCUAAUCUCUUAGACACUAUGCUUUUCUCUUAGACACUAAACGGCUCUAUCUAGUCUCCUAAUCUUUCACAAACUUCUCUUAAUCACUUCCUAAACACUCUCUUUAUUCUGUUUACUCUAAGGAUCUCUUAAUCUCAUAUGGUAUCAGAGCCAGGUUCAUUUGAAUCUGGGGUUUGAUCUUUAGAGAGUUACAAGCUAAACGUCUUUGAAGCUACACGCGAGUAGUCUUGAAGGUGUUGAAGCUGUGGUCCGUUCUAGUUGAAGCUGUGCUACGUUCUGUUGGUUUGCGUGAUUCUAGACUCAAGGUUGGUGUGUACGAAAUCCAAGAUCCAAGUUUUCAAGUCAAGCAAAGAUGGAACAUGGGAUGAACAUGAGGAUGAAGGUAGCGGUUACUUUCAAAGGUAGCAACUACCUUGUGUGGUCUCGGAUGGUGAAGACUGCUGUGGGAAGUAAGGGUUUGUGGGGGCACAUCACAACAGGGGAGGCUCCGAAACUCAUUACUCAGGGAGGAGAUCAAGAAGAGGUCUCCAAUGAAGCGGCUGUGGAGAAAUGGCAACAAGAAGACAUGCUGGUGAUGACGGUUCUACACGCAUCCUUGGACCCAGCUAUCUUGGAUGCCUACAGCUACUGUGAAUCAGCCAAGGAGCUGUGGGACACGCUGAAGAAGGUGUAUGGGAACACUUCCAACCUCAGCCGUGUGUUUGAAGUGAAGCUAGCGAUCAACCGUCUUGCACAAGAGGACAUGGAGUUCACUAAGCACUUGGGGAGGUUCAGGUCCUUAUGGUCAGAGCUGGAGAUGCUGAGGCCGAGCACAACUGAUCCAGAUCAGCUGAAUGAGAGGCGCGAGCAAGACAAGGUCUUUGGGCUGCUUCUCACACUGAACCCGGCCUACACCCAGCUCAUCCAGCACAUGUUAAGGUCAGACAAGCUUCCGGACCUUGAGGAGGUGUGUGCACAAAUCCAAAGGGAGCAGGGAUCCAUGGGUUUGUUUGGAGGAAAGGGGGAGCUCUCUCUUGCCAAUCAAGCAGCUCAUGAGGAUUCAACCGAGGCUCCACAAGCAAACAAGGCAUCUCACGGGAAGUACGAGGACAGGAAGUUCAAUGGCAACUGUGAUCAUUGCAAGAAGCAUGGUCAUAAGAAGAGCCAAUGCUGGAUACUGCACCCACACCUCAAGCCGGCCAAGUUCAUGAAGGAGCGUGAGGGAAGGGCAAAUGUGACUGAAGGUUCAAGCGGAGCUGGCACCAGCAAGAUCAGUGAAGUGGAUGGGCUUGGAGGCAAUGAUGGGAAUGGGAAGUCUCUGGUGGCUUACACAGGCGCCUCAAGCUCCCGCAGCAAUGAUGACUACAUCAAGAGAUCAGACCUUGAUGCCCUCUUCAAAAUGCUAAAGGAAAACGGUAACACUUACGGUUAUUCCUUUGGAGCUUCUAUGAUUGCAUAUAAGGAUGAUCACUUGAUUAGAAAACUAGUAGAACGGUUAGAAGCUAGGAAUGAGUAUAGGCAUGCUUACAUUGCUAGAACUGAUAAGAUGCAUUCAUCACUUAGUAAUCUAUGCCAUAAUGCUAAACGAGUAGGUAAACCAUUGAUUGUUGAUUCUGGUGCAUCACAUCAUAUGAUAAGUGAUGAAAACUUGAUUAAGGAUAUAGAACCUACACAUGGGCAUGUGAUGAUAGCAAAUGGGGAUAAGAUACCCAUUAGAGGAAUAGGAAAGCUUAAGCUGUUUAACAAAGAAUCUAGAGCUUUUUACAUGCCUGAAUUCACAUCAAACCUAUUAUCAGUGAAGAAAUGUACUAAUGAUUUACAAUGCAAUGUUAUCUUUAGUCCUAAUGAUGUGAAGUUUCAGGAUAUUGAGAGCAGCAGGUUGAUUGGGAAAGGGGUGACUAAGGGAGAUCUCUAUAUGCUUGAAGAACUCACUUCUGUUCCUGAUUAUAGUUGCUCGUUUACUUCUGCUUCUUUGUUGAAUAAAAAUGCAUUGUGGCAUGCUAGAGUAGGACACCCUCAUGUUAAAGCUUUGAACUUAAUGGUACCAGGUGUUGUGUUUGAGAAUAAGGAUUGUGAAGCUUGCAUUUUAGGCAAGCAUUGUAGAACUGUGUUUCAAAAGUCUACUACUGUUUAUGAUAAUUGCUUUGAUCUAAUUCAUUCAGAUGUAUGGACUGCCCCUUGCUUAUCUAGAGAUAGUUAUAAGUAUUUUGUCACAUUCAUUGAUGAAAAAUCCAAAUACACCUGGUUAACCUUAAUUCAGACCAAAGAUAGGGUACUUGAUGCAUUUAGGAAUUUUCAAACUUAUGUAACUAACCAUUAUCAUGCUAAGAUUAAAAUUUUGAGAUCAGAUAAUGGAGGAGAGUACACGAGUCAUGCAUUCAAGCAACACCUAUCACAACAUGGGAUUCUACAUCAAACAAGCUGUCCUUAUACUCCACAGCAAAAUGGAGUGGCUGAGAGGAAGAAUAGGCAUCUCAUGGAAGUGGCAAGGUCACUUAUGUUUCAGAGUAAUGUUCCAAAGAGAUUUUGGAGUGAUGCGGUUGCCACUGCUUGUUACCUGAUAAACAGAACUCCAACCAAAGUUCUGAAUGAGAAGGCUCCAUUUGAAGUUCUGAACAGGUACAAGCCAGCUCUUGAUUACUUGCGAGUCUUUGGAUGCCUAUGCUUUGUCCUCAAACCAGGAGAGAUGAUCAACAAGCUAGAAGCAAGAAGCACUAAGGCUGUGUUCAUAGGAUACUCAGCUACACAGAAAGGAUACAAAUGCUAUGAUCCUAUAGCAAGGAGAGUUCUUGUAUCUAGAGAUGUGAAGUUCUUGGAAGAUAGAGGAUACUAUGAAGAAAAGAAUCAAGAAGACCUGAAGGACUUAACAUCAGACAAGGCCACCACCUUGCGGAUCAUUCUUGAAGGUCUUGGAAUCAGUACAUCCCAGGAUCCGAGGAAUCACGCAACUACACCUCCUGAAGUUGGUUCACCAUCCCACCUUGAUCAUGAGGGAGGAGAGGAGCAUGAGGAGCCUAUGCAAGAGGCCAACCAAGAUGAAGGAGGAGUAGAGAAUGAAGGAGAAGAGAGCAUAGGCUCGGAUGGUCAUGGACAUGAUCAUGGUGUGACACAAACACCUUCUCAAGAUGAAGUGGUAGAAGAACAACAGGAAGAAGAACCAGUUGUGCAGCCACUAAGAAGGAGUACAAGGAUAAGGAAGGAUCCUUCCAGUUGGGUAAACACGAGAGUGUACUACAAUGCCCAAGCUGUGGAGCAUCCUUCUCAAGCCGUGUGCUCCUUUGCUCAAUAUCCAGAAGCACAUUGCGCGUUCAUGGUAAACUUGGAUGAGAAUCACAUCCCAAGAAGCUAUGAAGAAGCAAUGAAAGAUAAAGAAUGGAAGGAAUCAGUUGGAGAUGAGGCAGGAGCGAUGAUCAAGAAUGAUACAUGGUAUGAGAGUGAGUUACCAAAAGGGAAGAAGGCUGUGACUAGUAGAUGGAUAUUCACAAUCAAGUACAAAGCGGAUGGAAAGGUUGAGAGGAAGAAGUCAAGACUAGUUGCAAGAGGGUUCACUCAAACUUAUGGAGAAGAUUACAUAGAAACCUUUGCACCAGUAGCUAAACUCCACACAAUCCGGAUUGUACUAAGCUUGGCUGUGAAUCUUGGAUGGGGGUUAUGGCAAAUGGAUGUGAAGAAUGCGUUUCUACAAGGUGAACUUGAGGAUGAAGUGUAUAUGCAUCCACCUCCAGGCCUUGAACACUUAGUAAAGAGUGGGAAUGUACUGAGAUUGAAGAAAGCCAUCUAUGGACUGAAGCAAUCACCAAGGGCUUGGUACAACAAGUUGAGCACUACUCUGAAUGGCCGAGGCUUCAAGAAGUCUGAACUAGAUCACACUCUCUUCACUCUCACGACUCCCUCAGGUAUGAUUGCUCUCCUUGUGUAUGUUGAUGAUAUCAUUAUCACAGGGAGUGAUAAGGAAGGUAUCAUAGCAACCAAGGAGUUUCUUAAAUCCAUGUUUGAGAUUAAAGACUUGGGAGAAAUGAAAUACUUCCUUGGAAUUGAGAUAUGUAGAUCCAAGGAAGGUUUGUUCAUGUCCCAAAGGAAAUAUACACUUGAUCUUUUGAAAGGUGCAGGUGCUUAUGGAGGCAAGACAGCAAGGAUGCCUAUGGAGGAUGGCUACAAAGUCCCACGAGAGGGGGAGAUUGAAGACAGCAAACCUUAUCAGGAUCCUAAACUCUAUAGAAAACUAGUUGGCAAAUUGAUUUAUCUUACUAUAACUAGACCUGACAUUUGCUUUGCUGUGAAUCAGGUGAGUCAACACAUGCAAGUGCCUAAGGAACAUCACUGGCACAUGGUGGAGAGGAUCUUGAUGUAUCUCAACGGCUCACCUGAUCAAGGAGUAUGGAUGGGCUGCAAUGGAAGCACUGAAGUGGUGGGAUAUUGUGAUGCGGAUUGGGCUGGUGAUAGAGCAGACAGGAGAUCAACCACAGGCUAUUGCACAUUCAUUGGAGGCAACUUGGUGACUUGGAAGAGCAAGAAGCAGAAGGUAGUGUCAUGUUCAAGUGCAGAAGCCGAGUAUAGAGCCAUGCUGAAGCUCACCAACGAGUUGGUAUGGAUCAAAGGCAUCUUGAAGCACUUGGAGAUCGAUCAAGCAACUCCAAUGACAAUGCAUUGUGACAAUCAAGCUGCCAUCCACAUUGCAUCCAACUCGGUGUUUCAUGAGAGGACCAAGCACAUUGAAGUUGAUUGUCACAAGGUGAGGCAGAUGAUUGUGCUAGGGGUGAUCUUGCCAUGUUACACAAGGAGUGAAGAUCAGCUAGCGGAUGUGUUCACCAAGGCUGCAAGACAGAAGACAAUGGAGUCCAUUCACAUCAGGUUGGGCCUCAUUGAUCUUGGGAAGAGAAGAAGCUAAUCCCCUUAGCUGCAAGGUCUUUACUCUUUUUCCCUCAUCAAAGUUUUAUCCCAUUGGGUUUUCUUUGGUGAGGUUUUUAAUGAGGAAGAUCUUGUGGCUGUCCAAGCUUAGACUUAUACAAAGCUAAGCUUGAGGGGGAGUGUUGAGUUGAGCUGAAUAUAUAUGUAUGAAGAGCUAAGGAGUUGAAGAGGAAAGGAGAUGAGGAAGCUUGAGAGAGUUUAGGGAGAGCAUGGUACGGACGUCCGUACAAGGCCGUACAAGCCGUACAGUCCGUACCAUCCAGCAUCGACCAAGACUUACCUUGCAUCAGCCAAGUAACACGGUAACUAAGGUAAAGGGAAGGAACUUACCUUGAGGCAUCAGACCGUUUAGGGAUAAGGUAGAGCGCGCCUUGACAGGCUGGAACAGCUGGAAAGGCAAGAGCAUCUCGGUCCAAGAUGCCAGAUACUCCGCGCAUGUGGAGAAGCUAAUUGGCUAGUCCAAAUGAGCUUAUCCUCUCCUGAUUGACCUCACAUGCUUUAGUCUUCUCUUGAUUUCGAAAACCCUUGUAUGCUCUCUCUAUAUAUUGUAACUCAUCAACCCUAAUGAAGAUUAUGCAGUUUGAGUCUCUCUAAUCUCUUAGACACUAUGCUUUUCUCUUAGACACUAAACGGCUCUAUCUAGUCUCCUAAUCUUUCACAAACUUCUCUUAAUCACUUCCUAAACACUCUCUUUAUUUUGUUUACUCUAAGGAUCUCUUAAUCUCAUAUUCAACAGAUCCUGAGUGUACUUCCUUUGAGACAUGAACAAGCCCUCCUUUGAUCUGCAUAUCUCAAUACCCAGAAAAUACUUCAUCUCUCCCAAAUCCUUGAUGUCAAACACUGAUUUGAGAAACUCCUUAGUAGCCUGAAUCCCUGCCUUAUCACUUCCUGUGAUAAUCAAAUCAUCCACAUACACUAGAAUCACAAUGAUCCCUGAAGGUCCUGUCAAGGUGAAGAGAGUGUGAUCCAGUUCAGACUUCCUAAAGCCUCUCCCAUUGAGUGUGGUACUCAACUUCCUGUACCAAGCUCUAGGUGACUGUUUUAGCCCAUAUAUUGCCUUCUUCAAUCUUAAAACAUUCCCUGGCUUUACUAGAUGCUCAAGACCAGGAGGUGGAUGCAUGUACACUUCAUCUUCUAGUUCACCUUGCAGGAAAGCAUUCUUCACAUCCAUUUGCCACAGAUCCCACUUCAAGUUUGUUGCAAUGGAUAACACAAUUCGAAUUGUGUGAAGCUUAGCCACUGGUGCAAAAGUAUCAAUGUAGUCUUCCCCAUAAGUCUGUGUAAACCCUCUUGCUACCAGCCUGGUUUUGCGUCUCUCAAUAGUUCCAUCUGCCCGGUACUUGAUUGUGAAGAUCCAUCUGCUAGACACAGCCUUCUUCCCUCUUGGUAAUUCACUCUCAUACCAAGUGUCAUUCCUGAUCAUUGCAUCCCUUUCAUCACCCACUGAAUUUCUCCAGACCUUAUGCUUCAUGGCUUCCUCAUAAGACCUUGGGAUCUCAUUCUCAUCCAGAUUACCCAUGAAGACCACAUGCUCCUCUGGAUAUGUUGCAAACGAACAUACUGCUUGAGUCGGAUGUGCUACGGCCUCCGCAUUGUAGUAUAUCCUUGUGUUCACCCAAUUUGAUGGAUCUUUCUUUACCCUGGUACUUCUCCUCAGUGGUUGAACCUCUGUUUCUGGUUCCUGAAUCCCAACUGACUCGACUGGAUUUUGCAUAGCUGCCUGCUCAUCUCUAUCAGUCUGCGCAUCUCCAUCUGAUCUUGGACUCUCUCUAUCAGCCUGCGCAUCUCCAUCUGAUCUUGGAUUCUCUUCUCCUUGUGUCUCUCCUUGAUCAUGACUUCCUGAAUCACUUUUCUGUUGUUGUUGCACUCCUGAUUCAGCUUCACUUCCCCCCUCAUGAUCAAGAGGGGACCUCCUUUCACUUUCCUCCUCAUGAGUACUUGUGCUUCUUGGUGGUUCUCUUCUUGUUCCUUGAUCCUGGGUCAUGCUAAUCCCAAGAUUCUCCAAUAUUUUCCUCAGAUUUGUUGCCUUAUCUGAUGGCGUUUGUGGAAGAUCCUUCAAAUCUUCCCAUAUCUUUUCUUCAUAAUACCCUUUUCCUUCAAUGAAUUUGACAUCUCUAGACACCAACACCCUCCCUGUUACUGGAUCAUAGCACUUAUACCCUUUCUGAGUAAUGGAGUAUCCAAUAAACAUAGCCUUAGUGCUCUUUGCAUCAAGCUUCUUCCUCAGUUCUCCUGGAACCAAUACAUAGCAGGUACACCCAAACACUCUCAGAUGUUGAAUCUGCGGCCUAGCCUUGUUCAGUACCUCAAAUGGAGAUAGAUCCCUCAGAACUUUCGUCGGUGUCCUGUUGAUGAGAUAACAUGCUGAGACAACUGCAUCACUCCAAAAUCUCUUGGGAACAUUAGAAUGAAACAUCAUUGAUCUUGCUACUUCCAUCAGGUGUCUGUUCUUCCUCUCAGCCACACCAUUCUGUUGUGGAGUGUAGGGACAGCUGGUUUGAUGAACUAUCCCAUGCUUCAUCAGAUGAUUCUUGAAUGCAUGGCUAGUGUAUUCACCUCCAUUGUCUGACCUUAGUACCUUCACAGUAGCAUUAUAGUGAUUAGUGACAUAGGCUUGGAAGUUUAUAAAUGCCUCUAACACUCUAUCCUUGGAGGGAAGCAAUGUGACCCAUGUGUACUUAGAUUUUUCAUCUAUGAAAGUCACAAAAUACUUAUGCUUAUCCCUAGAUAUACAUGGAGAUGUCCACACAUCAGAGUGUAUUAAGUCAAAGCAUUUCUCAUAGACAGUUUCAGAUGUGGGAAAGACAGUUUUGCAAUGCUUCCCUAGUAUGCAUGCUUCACAUUCAAGGUGAUUAACUGAUAGAUUAGGUAUCAUUAGCUCAAGGGCGCGAGUAUGAGGAUGUCCUAAUCUAGCAUGCCAAGUAAUACUAUCACAGCCAUCAGCAGUACUACUCAUGCAUAUUGAGAUAGAGGGUUUAGAGAGCUUAGUUGAUUGUAGCUGGUAUAGAUUGUUGGUACUGCUCCCCUUUCCAAUCACUUGACCCGUAACAAGAUCUUGAAACUCAACCUCCUGUGGCCUGAAUACUACUUGACAUUGCAAGUCAAUAGUAGCUCUCUUUACAGAUAUCAAAUUGGAGGUAAACUGAGGCAGGUACAAGGCUGUUGACUCCCUGUCAAAUAGCUUCAAGCUUCCUAUCCCUUCUAUAGGAAUUUUAUCUCCAUUUGCUAUCUGAACAUUUCCAGUAGCUGCUCUCACUUCAUCCAUCAGACUCCUAUCACUGAUCAUGUGAUGACUGGCUCCAGAAUCCACAAUAAUAGGUUUAGACCUUACUGAAUGACUUCCUUGCUUCUUUGAUGCAGUGAGUGCUUUCGCUUUGGCUACAAAUGCAUCCCAUUCUCUUCUGGUAAUCACCUCAUCAGCUCCACCCUUCUCGUGUCUGUUUGUUAAGCUAUCCCCAUCUUUUAUGUCUCCUAUGUAUGCUGAAUACAAGCUCUUGCCGGUGAUUACUUGUUCUAGCUCAGUAAUCUUUCUCCUCUUAUCCGGCUGCAUCUUUGCUUGCUCAUGCUUCACCAAACCACACACACUCUCCACAUCAGGUAGGACUUCUUCCGUGAGGAUCUUCCUGACCAGUUUAUCAUAAGACUUAUCUAAACUCAGCAGAAGACUAAACACUUCAUCUUGCUCUAGUCUUCUCUUCAGUAUGUCUUUAUCUGAGGUACUCGGUCUGAGUGCCUUCAACUCUGCCCAUAAGCUCUUAAAGCGUUCAAGAUGCUUACUGAGCUCUUCUCCAUCUUGCCUCAGAUUCUCAAUGGCCCGCUUAACCACAAAAACCUUGCAUAGAUGCGAUCUGUCCUCAUACACAGCUUCCAUACUCUCCCACAACUCCUUAGCUGUCCCUUCAUGACCAUCAGCUUCCAGGGUUGAACUUGAGAGCGACCUCUGGAUGAUCCCAAGUGUUCCAUGAUUCUCUUGAAUCCACUUGCCUUCACCCAUCUGCUUUGUAAUCACUUCACCCCCACGAUUCCACUCAUCAGGAGUAACUGUUGUACAUAGCUCCACCAUGGUGUCGUCUGUUUCCAUCUACAAGAAGAGAACCUCAACACACCAAUAACCCAGAAUACCAAAUCUUCAAGCACACUCACAAACCCAGAAUCUCCAAGAACACAAAUUUGCGGAAUGAACUCAGGUUUUAGAGCAACCUGGCUCUGAUACCAUAUUAGAUUUUGAUUUAGUGAGUGUAGAACGUGGAUUAAGAGAGAAUAAGAUUGAUUUGAGUAAGUAGAUUAAGAGAAUUAAGAGAUUAGAGUAAUGAGAGAGAGUAGAAAGAUUAGAGAGAGAUAGACUCAAAACUCAGAUUAGUCUUUAUUAAUCAGAGAGGUUACAAUUUAUAGUUCAGGAUACAAGGGUUUCCAAGACUCUAAGGAUAAGGUAAAGCAUGUGAAGUCAAUACAGAAGCUAGACUCGAUUUUGAAUUGAUCCAAUGGCUGUUCUCACAUGUGUAAGGUAUCUUUGCUUUUGCUUUACCUUUCCAGCAUGAGACAGGCUGUCACCGCGAGCCUUAUCCUUCUCCAACGGGCUGAUUCUUCUCCAAGACUAAAGGCAUUCACCUUUUACCACUCUAACUCCUCAUUCUAACUUUCACCUUUGGUUAAUGUUUGUGAUCAUCCUUGAUGUGUACGGCCAGUUCCUUCUGUACGGAUUGUACGGCUAUGGCUGAUCACAAACUCUCCCAAAGUCUCAUCCCUUUCAGUCUCUUAACUCCUUGUGCCUUCUCCUACAUUGUACUCAACUCAUUUCAACAUCCACUUCUUGAUCUUCAUCUCAACAGAGCAUAUCAGCCAUAGUAGAGAUCAUGGUCUGAUUCAUUUGCUCGGUCAUUUGAUCUCUCAGCAUCUUGUUCUUCCUUACUAGCUCGGCUUCUUCUUCUGAUUCUUUCCCCAUUGGUACCUAGAAUCAAUAACAACACUCAACCAGUAAAUAAUUCCAAUAAACUGAUCGUAAUCAGUAGAUGAUCAAGAGAUUUUAAACUGAAAUAAACUGGCGGUAAAAGAAAACUUGAUUAUCAAGUAACGAGAAUUCAAAUCGACAACAAGUAAAUCACAAUAGAAACGUGAUCAGGGUAGGUUUGUUAAUCAGAUUUCGACGACACACAAGUAGAUCUAGUUGUUAUAGGUGAUUUAUAACAGAUCACACGAUCAAUUAGAUUCAAACAAAAGAUCAAAUCUAGAAUAUGAAUCGAUAACAAUCGGAUCUAAAAGAGCGAAACCUAGAUCUAUCAAUUUCAAACUCUUAACAAUUAGAUCGACACAAAAUGAUUAGAUCACACACUCAAACGACCACGGAUCACAGAUCAAUCAAUGGAUAUUGCGAAACAAAGAACAGAUCAGUUGAAACAAAACGGAUCGAUCUAAAAACUGAUCAAGAAGAUGAACAGGUUAAAUCGAAACAAAAGAGAAACGAGUACUUCCCUAACCAGAGAUGCUCUGAUACCACAUAAUACGUCCCUAGAUUGCUUCUCUGGAUAGUAUGGGAUAGAUCCUUGCUAGAACGAAUCAAAGACUCAAGCUCUACAAGGUUGUGGAUCGAUUGGUGACACAAGAGGCUGCGGAAAGGCUCCUUGAUACUCCUAAGUGACUAGAUCGGAUAUGACACACCGAGAUAGACACUCUUGGGUUGUUGGAUACUACACACCAACAAGAACACUCAACAACUCGCGAACAAGCAGUAGAGAGAACAAAGAAAAGGUUUAUGAUAAAAGAUAAUUGAUUAUUGAUAAGGGAUUCAAAGUACACUUAUAUAAGAGAAGUUGGAACAGACUCCAAGCUUCUCGAAAACUAUCAAGAGAGCAAAGGAACACGCACUCUUGAAAAUAGAAACAAAUGACAAGUUUGAAAAUAAAACAUGAAAUGAAAGACUUAUUAUAACAUAAGGUUGAUCCGGGAUAAGGUUGGAUCGAGAUCAUCAACUAAGGGUUUUGAGAAGCAAAUCUAUGGCCUCGUUAAAAACCUAUCUUUGGAAAACCCAUUGGGACAAAACCAAAGAUAGGGAAAAAGAGCACACAUAGAUUGCUUGCUUAGUUGAUGAUCAGCUUGAUGGUGAAGUAGCCUGAAUGGUGAUAAGUGUGUCUUGGUUGAUCAAGCUUCUACCAAGACAUUCCUCUUGCUUCCAUGACCUCUUAACCAAUCCUCCAAUAACUUGCGUGAGCUUCCUUGAUCUUGAUCGAGUCAUAGGUCCUUUAGGCAAGGCUAGAACAUCUCCAUCAGUUGGCUUAUCCAGAUCCUUAUUAUCUCCAUUAGCUAGUUGGUCCAUGAUCACAUCAUCCCCUCCCUCUUGAAAAGGAUUUGUCCUCAAAUCUGGCUCAUCUGCAACAAAAGGGAUCAAGUCAGUAACAUUGAAGCUAUCACUUAUAUCUCAAUUCCAAGAAAGUAUUUCAUUUCUCCCAAGUCUUUAAUCUCAAACAUGGAUUUAAGAAACUCCUUGGUUGCUAUGAUACCUUCCUUAUCACUCCCUGUGAUAAUGAUAUCAUCAACAUACACAAGGAGUGCAAUCAUACCUGAGGGAGUCGUGAGUGUGAAGAGGGUGUGAUCUAGUUCAGACUUCUUGAAGCCUCGGCCAUUAAGAGUAGUGCUCAACUUGUUGUACCACACUCUUGGUGAUUGCUUCAGCCCAUAGAUGGCUUUCUUCAGUCUCAACACAUUUCCACUCUUCACUAAGUGUUCAAGGCCUGGAGGUGGAUGCAUAUACACUUCAUCCUCAAGUUCACCUUGUAGAAACGCAUUCUUCACAUCCAUUUGCCAUAACCCCCAUCCAAGAUUCACAGCCAAGCUUAGUACAAUCCGGAUUGUGUGGAGUUUAGCUACUGGUGCAAAGGUUUCUAUGUAAUCUUCUCCAUAAGUUUGAGUGAAACCUCUUGCAACUAGCCUUGACUUCUUCCUCUCAACCUUUCCAUCCGCUUUGUACUUGAUUGUGAAUAUCCAUCUACUAGUCACAGCCUUCUUCCCUUUUGGUAACUCACUCUCAUACCAUGUAUCAUUCUUGAUCAUCGCUCCUGCCUCAUCUCCAACUGAUUCCUUCCAUUCUUUAUCUUUCAUUGCUUCUUCAUAGCUUCUUGGGAUGUGAUUCUCAUCCAAGUUUACCAUGAAAGCGCAAUGUGCUUCUGGAUAUUGAGCAAAGGAGCACACGGCUUGAGAAGGAUGCUCCACAGCUUGGGCAUUGUAGUACACUCUCGUGUUUACCCAACUGGAAGGAUCCUUCCUUAUCCUUGUACUCCUUCUUAGUGGCUGCACAACCGGUUCUUCUUCCUGUUGUUCUUCUACCACUUCAUCUUGAGAAGGUGUUUGUGUCACACCAUGAUCAUGUCCAUGACCAUCCGAGCCUAUGCUCUCUUCUCCUUCAUUCUCUACUCCUCCUUCAUCUUGGUUGGCCUCUUGCAUAGGCUCCUCAUGCUCCUCUCCUCCCUCAUGAUCAAGGUGGGAUGGUGAACCAACUUCAGGAGGUGUAGUUGCGUGAUUCCUCGGAUCCUGGGAUGUACUGAUUCCAAGACCUUCAAGAAUGAUCCGCAAGGUGGUGGCCUUGUCUGAUGUUAAGUCCUUCAGGUCUUCUUGAUUCUUUUCUUCAUAGUAUCCUCUAUCUUCCAAGAACUUCACAUCUCUAGAUACAAGAACUCUCCUUGCUAUAGGAUCAUAGCAUUUGUAUCCUUUCUGUGUAGCUGAGUAUCCUAUGAACACAGCCUUAGUGCUUCUUGCUUCUAGCUUGUUGAUCAUCUCUCCUGGUUUGAGGACAAAGCAUAGGCAUCCAAAGACUCGCAAGUAAUCAAGAGCUGGCUUGUACCUGUUCAGAACUUCAAAUGGAGCCUUCUCAUUCAGAACUUUGGUUGGAGUUCUGUUUAUCAGGUAACAAGCAGUGGCAACCGCAUCACUCCAAAAUCUCUUUGGAACAUUACUCUGAAACAUAAGUGACCUUGCCACUUCCAUGAGAUGCCUAUUCUUCCUCUCAGCCACUCCAUUUUGCUGUGGAGUAUAAGGACAGCUUGUUUGAUGUAGGAUCCCAUGUUGUGAUAGGUGUUGCUUGAAUGCAUGACUCGUGUACUCUCCUCCAUUAUCUGAUCUCAAAAUUUUAAUCUUAGCAUGAUAAUGGUUAGUUACAUACGUUUGAAAGUUCCUAAAUGCAUCAAGUACCCUAUCUUUGGUCUGAAUUAAGGUUAACCAGGUGUAUUUGGAUUUUUCAUCAAUGAAUGUGACAAAAUACUUAUAAGUAUCUCUAGAUAAGCAAGGGGCAGUCCAUACAUCUGAAUGAAUUAGAUCAAAGCAAUUAUCAUAAACGGUAGUAGACUUUUGAAACACAGUUCUACAAUGCUUGCCUAAAAUGCAAGCUUCACAAUCUUUAUUCUCAAACACAACACCUGGUACCAUUAAGUUCAAAGCUUUAACAUGAGGGUGUCCUACUCUAGCAUGCCACAAUGCAUUUUUAUUCAACAAAGAAGCAGAAGUAAACGAGCAAAUAUAAUCAGGAACAGAAGUGAGUUCUUCAAGCAUAUAGAGAUCUCCCUUAGUCACCCCUUUCCCAAUCAAUCUGCUGCUCUCAAUAUCCUGAAACUUCACAUCAUUAGGACUAAAGAUAACAUUGCAUUGUAAAUCAUUAGUACAUUUCUUCACUGAUAAUAGGUUUGAUGUGAAUUCAGGCAUGUAAAAAGCUCUAGAUUCUUUGUUAAACAGCUUAAGCUUUCCUAUUCCUCUAAUGGGUAUCUUAUCCCCAUUUGCUAUCAUCACAUGCCCAUGUGUAGGUUCUAUAUCCUUAAUCAAGUUUUCAUCACUUAUCAUAUGAUGUGAUGCACCAGAAUCAACAAUCAAUGGUUUACCUACUCGUUUAGCAUUAUGGCAUAGAUUACUAAGUGAUGGAUGCAUCUUAUCAGUUCUAGCAAUGUGAGCAUGUCUAUACUCAUUCCUAGCUUCUAACCGUUCUACUAGUUCUCUAAUCAAGUGAUCAUCCUUAUAUGCAAUCAUAGAAGCUCCAAAGGAAUAACCGUAAGUGUUACCGUUUUCCUUUAGCAUUUUGAAGAGGGCAUCAAGGUCUGAUCUCUUGAUGUAGUCAUCAUUGCUGCGGGAGCUUGAGGCGCCUGUGUAAGCCACCAGAGACUUCCCAUUCCCAUCAUUGCCUCCAAGCCCAUCCACUUCACUGAUCUUGCUUGUGCCAGCUCCGCUUGAACCUUCAGUCACAUUUGCCCUUCCCUCACGCUCCUUCAUGAACUUGGCCGGCUUGAGGUGUGGGUGCAGUAUCCAGCAUUGGCUCUUCUUAUGACCAUGCUUCUUGCAAUGAUCACAGUUGCCAUUGAACUUCCUGUCCUCGUACUUCCCGUGAGAUGCCUUGUUUGCUUGUGGAGCCUCGGUUGAAUCCUCAUGAGCUGCUUGAUUGGCAAGAGAGAGCUCCCCCUUUCCUCCAAACAAACCCAUGGAUCCCUGCUCCCUUUGGAUUUGUGCACACACCUCCUCAAGGUCCGGAAGCUUGUCUGACCUUAACAUGUGCUGGAUGAGCUGGGUGUAGGCCGGGUUCAGUGUGAGAAGCAGCCCAAAGACCUUGUCUUGCUCGCGCCUCUCAUUCAGCUGAUCUGGAUCAGUUGUGCUCGGCCUCAGCAUCUCCAGCUCUGACCAUAAGGACCUGAACCUCCCCAAGUGCUUAGUGAACUCCAUGUCCUCUUGUGCAAGACGGUUGAUCGCUAGCUUCACUUCAAACACACGGCUGAGGUUGGAAGUGUUCCCAUACACCUUCUUCAGCGUGUCCCACAGCUCCUUGGCUGAUUCACAGUAGCUGUAGGCAUCCAAGAUAGCUGGGUCCAAGGAUGCGUGUAGAACCGUCAUCACCAGCAUGUCUUCUUGUUGCCAUUUCUCCACAGCCGCUUCAUUAGAGACCUCUUCUUGAUCUCCUCCCUGAGUAAUGAGUUUCGGAGCCUCCCCUGUUGUGAUGUGCCCCCACAAACCCUUACUUCCCACCGCGGUCUUCACCAUCCGAGACCACACAAGGUAGUUGCUACCUUUGAAAGUAACCGCUACCUUCAUCCUCAUGUUCAUCCCAUGUUCCAUCUUUGCUUGACUUGAAAACUUGAAUCUUGGAUCUCGUACACACCAACCUUGAGUCUAGAAUCACGCAAACCAACAGAACGUAGCACAGCUUCAACUAGAACGGAACACAGCUUCAACACCUUCAAGACUACUCGCGUGUAGCUUCAAAGACGUUUAGCUUGUAACUCUCUAAAGAUCAAACCCCAGAUUCAAAUGAACCUGGCUCUGAUACCAUAUGAGAUUAAGAGAUCCUUAGAGUAAUCAGAAUAAAGAGAGUGUUUAGGAAGUGAUUAAGAGAAGUUUGUGAAAGAUUAGGAGACUAGAUAGAGCCGUUUAGUGUCUAAGAGUAAACCAUAGUGUCUAAGAGAUUAGAGAGACUCAAACUGCUUAAUCUUCAUUAGGGUUGAUGAGUUACAAUAUAUAGAGUGAGCAUACAAGGGUUUUCGAAAUCAAGAGAAGACUAAAGCAUGUGAGGUCAAUCAGGAGAGGAUAAGCUCAUUUGGACUAGCCAAUUAGCUUCUCCACAUGCGCGGAGUAUCUGGCAUCUUGGACCGAGAUGCUCUUGCCUUUCCAGCUGUUCCAGCCUGUCAAGGCGCGCUCUACCUUAUCCCUAAACGGUCUGAUGCCUCAAGGUAAGUUCCUUCCCUUUACCUUAGUUACCGUGUUACUUGGCUGAUGCAAGGUAAGUCUUGGUCGAUGCUGGAUGGUACGGACUGUACGGCUUGUACGGCCUUGUACGGACGUCCGUACCAUGCUCUCCCUAAACUCCCUUAAGCUUCCUCAUCUCCUUUCCUCUUCAACUCCUUAGCUCUUCAUACAUAUAUUCAGCUCAACUCAACACUUAUGUCGUACUUACCUUGCAGAUCAAGUUUGUAGGCAUUGUCAUUGAUCCUCUUGGUGACUUCAAAAGGGCCAUCAAUCCUCGGCAUUAGCUUAGACUUCCUCUCUUUUGGAAACCUUUCUUUCCUCAAGUGAACCCAUACUUGAUCUCCAACUUCAAAGAUCAUCUCACGCCUUCCCUUGUUGGCUUGUUUGGCGUAUUGCUUAGUUUUCUCUUCUAGAUUGCGCUUAGCUUGCUCAUGAAUCCGCUGAACCAUCUCAGCUUUCUUUUUCCCAUCCAUACUAACCCUUUCACACUCAGGUAAAGGUAUUAGAUCCAAAGGUGAGAUGGGAUUGAACCCAUAAACAAUUUCAAAAGGAGAAAACUUAGAAGCAUAAUGCAUAGCAUGAUUGUAUGCAAAUUCACAAUGAGGCAAGUAAUCUUCCCAUGAUUUCAAGUUCUUUUUGAUGAAUGCACGCAGGAGAGUACCUAAGGUUCUAUUAACUACUUCAGUCUGCCCAUCAGUUUGUGGAUGACAAGUAGUAGAAAACAAUAGCUUAGUUCCUAGUUUAGACCACAAUGUUUUCCAAAAGUAGCUAAGGAAUUUAGUGUCUCUAUCUGAAACUAUAGUCCUAGGCAUUCCAUGCAAACGUACAACUUCUUUAAAGAACAAAUUUGCUACAUGUAAUGCAUCAUCAGUCUUAUUGCAAGCUAUGAAAUGUGCCAUUUUAGAGAAUCUAUCAACAACCACAAAGAUAGAAUCCUUUCCAGUCCUAGUUCUAGGCAAACCCAUAACAAAAUCCAUAGAUAUAUCAUUCCAAGGAUGAGUAGGAAUAGGCAAAGGAGUAUACAAACCGUGAGGUUGAACUUUAGAUUUUGCAAGCUUGCAAGUUGUGCACCUUCCACAGAUUCUCUCCACAUCUCUUUUCAUAUGCGGCCAAUAGAAGUGAUCCUGCAAAACUUUAAGGGUUUUUGAUAUACCAAAAUGACCCAUCAGGCUUCCUCCAUGGGAUUCCCUGACAAAUAGAUCUCUCAAAGAGCAAUUAGGCACACAUAAACGAUUGUCAUAGAAUAAGAAUCCAUCAUGCCUAAAAUAAUGUCCAGAAGCAUACUUAGCACAUGAUUUAUAAGCUUCUUGAAAGUCAGGAUCAGAUUCAUACAUUUCUUUAAUCUGCUCAAAGCCUAGCAACUUAGCAUCAAGAGUAGUUAAAAGGACAUACCUUCGGGAUAGUGCAUCAGCAACUAUAUUCUCCUUACCUUGUUUGUAUUUGAUCACAUACGGGAAGGUUUCAAUGAAUUCUACCCAUCUAGCAUGUCUCUUGCUGAGCUUACUUUGUCCUUUGAGAUACUUGAGAGAUUCAUGGUCGGUGUGAAUUACAAACUCCUUUGGCCAGAGAUAAUGCUGCCAAGUCUGUAGAGCUCUCACCAAGGCGUAGAGUUCUUUGUCAUAAGUGGCAUAGUUGAGAGUAGCUCCACUGAGUUUCUCACUGAAGUAAGCAAUAGGUCUUUUAUCCUGCAUCAACACAGCACCAAUUCCAAUUCCUGAGGCAUCACAUUCUAUUUCAAAUGUUUUAGAAAAAUCAGGAAGUAUGAGAAGAGGAGAUUGAGUAAGCUUCUCUUUAAGGAGUUGGAAUGCGGCUUCUUGAGCUUCUCCCCACUUAAAUCCUACAUCCUUCUUGAUUAUCUCAGUUAGGGGAGCUGCUAGAGUGCUGAAAUCCUUCACAAAGCGCCUAUAGAAACCUGCCAGUCCAUGAAAACUCCUUACUUCUCCCACUGUAGUUGGACUCGGCCACUCUUGUAUUGCUUUGAUCUUUUCCUGAUCCACCUUUACACCAUCUGUACUUACAACAAAACCUAGAAAGAUCAAGUUAUCUGUGCAAAAAGUGCACUUCUUCAGAUUGGCAUAUAGUUUUUCCUUUCUCAAAACAUCCAAAACAGCCCUAAGAUGUUCUAUAUGAUCUUCUAAGCAUUUGCUGUAAACUAAGAUAUCAUCAAAGUACACAACAACAAAGAUGCCUAUGAAAGACCUAAGAAUAUGAUUCAUCAAUCUCAUGAAUGUACUAGGCGCAUUGGUUAAUCCAAAUGGCAUAACUAACCAUUCAUACAAGCCAUGUUUAGUUUUAAAAGCAGUUUUCCACUCAUCUCCUUCUUUCAUCCUAAUCUGAUGAUAUCCACUUUUCAAGUCUAUCUUAGAAAAGAUGCAAGAACCAUGCAAUUCAUCAAGCAUAUCAUCUAAUCUAGGAAUAGGGUGGCGAUACUUCACUGUUAUGUUGUUGAUUGCUCUACAAUCAACACACAUGCGCCAGCUCCCAUCUUUCUUUGGCACAAGGAGCACUGGAACUGCACAAGGACUCAAACUCUCUCGGAUAUGACCCUUCUCCAUCAGCUCCUCUAUUUGUUUUUGCAGUUCUUUAGUUUCAACUGGAUUGGUCCUGUAUGCUGGACGGUUGGGCAGUGUAGAACCAGGUACAAAGUCUAUUUGGUGCUCAAUCCCACGCACUGGAGGCAAUCCAAUGGGGCUAUCUUCUGGAAACACAUCUGCAUACUCCUGUAAAAGAGAAACUAGUUCACUCGGAUGAUCCGGUGUGUGAUCAGUAACUGUUAGAAGAGUCCCUUUAAACCUAAGCAAGAUAAUAGAAUUUUGAGAGUAGAGAAUUCUUUUGAUAUCUCCCUGUUUGGCAUAGAGGCUGUGAUGCUUGUCAUGAUCAGGUUUGAGAUCAAUCUCUUUCGCUUUCUUUUUCUGAAGCUGGAUUUGAUCUUCAUGAACCUCUUUAGGAGACAAAGGCACCAGCACAGUCUUCUUUCCGUUGAAUUCAAAAGAAUGUUUGUUGGUGAAGCCAUCAUGAUUCACACGUCUAUCAUACUGCCAGGGUCUUCCAAGGAGUAUAUGACUGGCUUCCAUUGGCAACACAUCACACAAGACUUCAUCUUCAUAUCUACCAAUGGCUAUAGGAACCAGUACUUGAGUAGAAACUUUCAUCUCGCCUUCUUCAUUGAGCCACUGCAAUCUGUAGGGUCUUGGGUGUUUCUGAAUUUUCAAACCCAAUUUCUUCACCAUAGCCUCACUAGCUACAUUGACACAACUUCCUCCAUCAAUAAUGAGACUGCACACCUUUCCCUGCACCAUACACCUUGUGUAGAAUAGAUUCUCUCGCUGCUCAAGCUCUCCAUUCUUGGCUUGCAAGUUCAAGAGCCUUCUUGUCACCAACAAUCUUCCUUUUCACGGGUUCUACUUCACUUUCUUCUUCAGACUUCUCAUGAUCAGAACCAAACUUCUCUUCUUCUGAUUCAUACUCUCCAUUCUCAAGAAGAAUCAUAACCUUUUUGUUGGUGCACUCAUUAGCAUAAUGCCCACGCCCUUGACAUUUGAAGCACUUAACAUCUCUAGUUCUUGAACUAGUAAUUUCAGCUUUGCCUUUGUCUUUGCUGUAUAUGCUGCUCGGCUUAGUCUCUUCUUUCGGCUGAGGCUUGCUAUCCUUCAGAUAGGAUGUUUUCUCCUCUUUAGAGUGGUGGAACUUAGACGAUCCAUAGCUGCGUGAGUUACCCUUCCUCUUGAGCUGCUGCUCCACUAGAAUAGCUUUGUGCAACAUCUCUUCUAUUUCCACAUAGUGUUGCAUCUCCACAUUGUCUUGUAUCUCGCGGUUAAGUCCUCCAAGAAACCUUGCCAUAGUAGCUUCUCUAUCCUCCAAGAUACUAGCUCUCAACAUCAGCAACUCCAUGUCUUGAUAGUAUUCUUCAACAGUUCGUGUUCCUUGGGUAAGUCUUCGCAGCUUUUGAUGUAGGUCGCGGUGAUAAUGGCUUGGAACAAACCGUUUGCGCAUGAGUGACUUCAUCUCGUGCCAUGAAUCAACCGGAUUCUCUUGGUUAAGCCGUCUAGUACUUACAAGUUGAUCCCACCAACUCAACGCAUAAUCAUAGAAUUCAGUUGCUGCAAUCUUGAUCCUUUGGGCAUUGGAGUAGUGUUGGCAAUUGAAGACAAGCUCGAUCUUCUUUUCCCAUUCCAAGUAGGCAUCUGGAUCCACCUUGCCAUGGAAGGGAGGAAUUUUAAGCUUAAGUCCUGAAAGCUUGUCUUUGCGUGACCCCCUUCCAUCAUGUUCACGCCUUGAUCUUCCUCUGCUCAGUUCAGAAGAAGAACUACUGCGCUCAGUUGGGUUGCGCUCAGUUCUAUUGCGCGAGUAGUAGUUGUCGGUCUCUUGUGAACCCGCAUGCUCUUGCCGUACUGGAGUAGGCCGGUUUCUUCUAGACUCAUUGCUAUGUCCCUGGCCAGUAGCUUGCCUCAACUCUUGUCUCAUCUCCUCACGUAAUUCCUUCAUGCUAGCCUUGAGCAUAUCAGCCAUAGUAGAGAUCAUGGUCUGAUUCAUUUGCUCGGUCAUUUGAUCUCUCAGCAUCUUGUUCUUCCUUACUAGCUCGGCUUCUUCUUCUGAUUCUUUCCCCAUUGGUACCUGGAAUCAAUAACAACACUCAACCAGUAAAUAAUUCCAAUAAACUGAUCGUAAUCAAUAGAUGAUCAAGAGAUUUUAAACUGAAAUAAACUGGCGGUAAAAGAAAACUUGAUUAUCAAGUAACGAGAAUUCAAAUCGACAACAAAUAAAUCACAAUAGAAACGCGAUCAGGGUAGGUUUGUUAAUCAGAUUUCGACGACACACAAGUAGAUCUAGUUGUUAUAGGUGAUGAUUUAUAACAGAUCACACGAUCAAUUAGAUUCAAACAAAAGAUCAAAUCUAGAAUAUGAAUCGAUAACAAUCGGAUCUAAAAGAGCGAAACCUAGAUCUAUCAAUUUCAAACUCUUAACAAUUAGAUCGACACAAAAUGAUUAGAUCACACACUCAAACGACCACGGAUCACAGAUCAAUCAAUGGAUAUUGUGAAACAAAGAACAGAUCAGUUGAAACAAAACGGAUCGAUCUAAAAACUGAUCAAGAAGAUGAACAGGUUAAAUCGAAACAAAAGAGAAACGAGUACUUCCCUAACCAGAGAUGCUCUGAUACCACAUAAUACGUCCCUAGAUUGCUUCUCUGGAUAGUAUGGGAUAGAUCCUUGCCAGAACGAAUCAAAGACUCAAGUUCUACAAGGUUGUGGAUCGAUUGGUGACACAAGAGGCUGCGGAAAGGCUCCUUGAUACUCCUAAGUGACUAGAUCGGAUAUGACACACCGAGAUAGACACUCUUGGGUUGCUGGAUACUACACACCAACAAGAACACUCAACAACUCGCGAACAAGCAGUAGAGAGAACAAAGAAAAGGUUUAUGAUAAAAGAUAAUUGAUUAUUGAUAAGGGGUUCAAAGUACACUUAUAUAAGAGAAGUUGGAACAGACUCCAAGCUUCUCGAAAACUAUCAAGAGAGUAAAAGCACACGCUCUCUUGGAAAUAGAAACAAAAGACAAGUUUGAAAACUAAAAACAUGAAAAGGAAAUACAUAAUAUAACAUAAGGUUGAUCCGGGAUAAGGUUGGAUCGAGAUCAUCAACUAAGGGUUUUGAGAAGCAAAUCUAUGGCCUCGUUAAAAACCUAUCUUUGGAAAACCCAUUGGGACAAAACCAAAGAUAGGGAAAAAGAGCACACAUAGAUUGCUUGCUUAGUUGAUGAUCAGCUUGAUGGUGAAGUAGCUUGAAUGGUGAUAAGUGUGUCUUGGUUGAUCAAGCUUCUACCAAGACAUUCCUCUUGCUUCCAUGACCUCUUAACCAAUCCUCCAAUAACUUGCGUGAGCUUCCUUGAUCUUGAUCGAGUCAUAGGUCCUUUAGGCAAGGCUAGAACAUCUCCAUCAGUCGGCUUAUCCAGAUCCUCAUCAUCUCCAUUAGCUAGUUGGUCCAUGAUCACAUCAUCCCCUCCCUCUUGAAAAGGAUUUGUCCUCAAAUCUGGCUCAUCUGCAACAAAAGGGAUCAAGUCAGUAACAUUGAAGCUAUCACUUAUGUCGUACUUACCUUGCAGAUCAAGUUUGUAGGCAUUGUCAUUGAUCCUCUUGGUGACUUCAAAAGGGCCAUCAAUCCUCGGCAUUAGUUUAGACUUCCUCUCUUUUGGAAACCUCUAUUUCCUCAAGUGAACCCAUACUUGAUCUCCAACUUCAAAGAUCAUCUCACGCCUUCCCUUGUUGGCUUGUUUGGCGUAUUGCUUAGUUUUCUCUUCUAGAUUGCGCUUAGCUUGCUCAUGAAUCUGCUGAACUAUCUCAGCUUUCUUUUUCCCAUCCAUACUAACCCUUUCACACAUGCUGAACCAUCUCAGCUUUCUUUUUCCCAUCCAUACUAACCCUUUCACACUCAGGUAAAGGUAUUAAAUCCAAAGGUGAGAUGGGAUUGAACCCAUAAACAAUUUCAAACGGAGAAAACUUAGAAGCAGAAUGCAUAGCAUGAUUGUAUGCAAAUUCACAAUGAGGUAAGUAAUCUUCCCAUGAUUUCAAGUUCUUUUUGAUGAAUGCACGCAGGAGAGUACCUAAGGUUCUAUUAACUACUUCAGUCUGCCCAUCAGUUUGUGGAUGACAAGUAGUAGAAAACAAUAGCUUAGUUCCUAGUUUAGACCACAAUGUUUUUCAAAAGUAGCUAAGGAAUUUAGUAUCUCUAUCUGAAACUAUAGUCCUAGGCAUUCCAUGCAAACGUACCACUUCUUUAAAGAACAAAUUAGCUACAUGUAAUGCAUCAUCAGUCUUAUUGCAAGCUAUGAAAUGUGCCAUUUUAGAGAAUCUAUCAACAACCACAAAGAUAGAAUCCUUUCCAGUCCUAGUUCUAGGCAAUCCCAUAACAAAAUCCAUAGAUAUAUCAUUCCAAGGAUGAGUAGGAAUAGGCAAAGGAGUAUACAAACCGUGAGGUUGAACUUUAGACUUUGCAAGCUUGCAAGUUGUGCACCUUCCACAGAUUCUCUCCACAUCUCUUUUCAUAUGCGGCCAAUAGAAGUGAUCCUGCAAAACUUUAAGGGUUUUUGCUAUACCAAAAUGACCCACCAAGCUUCCUCCAUGGGAUUCCCUGACAAAUAGAUCUCUCAAAGAGCAAUUAGGCACACAUAAACGAUUGUCAUAGAAUAAGAAUCCAUCAUGCCUAAAAUAAUGUCCAGAAGCAUACUUAGCACAUGAUUUAUAAGCUUCUUGAAAGUCAGGAUCAGAUUCAUACAUUUCUUUAAUCUGCUCAAAGCCUAGCAACUUAGCAUCAAGAAUAGUUAAGAGGACAUUCCUUCGGGAUAGUGCAUCAGCAACUAUAUUCUCCUUACCUUGUUUGUAUUUGAUCACAUACGGAAACGUUUCAAUGAAUUCUACCCAUCUAGCAUGUCUCUUGCUGAGCUUACUUUGUCCUUUGAGAUACUUGAGAGAUUCAUGGUCGGUGUGAAUGACAAACUCCUUUGGCCAGAGAUAAUGCUGCCAAGUCUGUAGAGCUCUCACCAAGGCGUAGAGUUCUUUGUCAUAAGUGGCAUAGUUGAGAGUAGCUCCACUGAGUUUCUCACUGAAGUAAGCAAUAGGUCUUUUAUCCUGCAUCAACACAGCACCAAUCCCAAUUCCUGAGGCAUCACAUUCUAUUUCAAAUGUUUUAGAAAAAUCAGGAAGUAUGAGAAGAGGAGAUUGAGUAAGCUUCUCUUUAAGGAGUUGGAAUGCGGCUUCUUGAGCUUCUCCCCACUUAAAUCCUACAUCCUUCUUGAUUAUCUCAGUUAGGGGAGCUGCUAGAGUGCUGAAAUCCUUCACAAAGCGCCUAUAGAAACCUGCCAGUCCAUGAAAACUCCUUACUUCUCCCACUGUAGUUGGACUCGGCCACUCUUGUAUUGCUUUGAUCUUUUCCUGAUCCACCUUUACACCAUCUGCACUUACAACAAAACCUAGAAAGACCAAGUUAUCACUUGUUUUUGCAGUUCUUUGGUUUCAACUGGAUUGGUCCUGUAUGCUGGACGGUUGGGCAGUGUAGAACCAGGUACAAAGUCUAUUUGGUGCUCAAUCCCACACACUGGAGGCAAUCCAAUGGGGCUAUCUUCUGGAAACACAUCUGCAUACUUCUGUAAAAGAGAAACUAGUUCACUCGGAUGAUCCGGUGUGUGAUCAGUAACUGUUAGAAGAGUCCCUUUAAACAUAAGCAAGAUAAUAGAAUUUUGAGAGUAGAGAAUUCUUUUGAUAUCUCCCUGUUUGGCAUAGAGGCUGUGAUGCUUGUCAUGAUCAGGUUUGAGAUCAAUCUCUUUCGCUUUCUUUUUCUGAAGCUGGAUUUGAUCUUCAUGAACCUCUUUAGGAGACAAAGGCACCAGCACAGUCUUCUUUCCGUUGAAUUCAAAAGAAUGUUUGUUGGUGAAGCCAUCAUGAUUCACACGCCUAUCAUACUGCCAGGGUCUUCCAAGGAGUAUAUGACUGGCUUCCAUUGGCAACACAUCACACAAGACUUCAUCUUCAUAUCUACCAAUGGCUAUAGGAACCAGUACUUGAGUAGAAACUCUCAUCUCGCCCUCUUCAUUGAGCCACUGCAAUCUGUAGGGUCUUGGGUGUUUCUGAAUUUUCAAACCCAAUUUCUUCACCAUAGUCUCACUAGCUACAUUGACACAACUUCCUCCAUCAAUAAUGAGACUGCACACCUUUCCCUGAACCAUACACCUUGUGUAGAAUAGAUUCUCUCGCUGCUCAAGCUCUCCAUUCUUGGUUUGCAAGUUCAAGAGCCUUCUUGUCACCAACAAUCUUCCUUUCACAGGUUCUACUUCACUUUCUUCUUCAGACUCCUCAUGAUCAGAACCAAACUUCUCUUCCUCUGAUUCAUACUCUCCAUUCUCAAGAAGAAUCAUAACCUUUUUGUUGGUGCACUCAUUAGCAUAAUGACCACGCCCUUGACAUUUGAAACACUUAACAUCUCUAGUUUUUGAACUAGUGAUUUCAGCUUUGCCUUUGUCUUUGCUGUAUGUGCUGCUCGGCUUAGUCUCUUCUUUCUGCUGAGGCUUGCUAUCCUUCAGAUAGGAUGUUUUCUCCUCCUUAGAGUGGUGGAACUUAGACGAUCCAUAGCUGCGUGAGUUACCCUUCCUCUUAAGCUGCUGCUCCACUAGAAUAGCUUUGUGCAACAUCUCUUCUAUUUCCACAUAGUGUUGCAUCUCCACAUUGUCUUGUAUCUCACGGUUAAGUCCUCCAAGAAACCUUGCCAUAGUAGCUUCUCUAUCCUCCAAGAUACUAGCUCUUAACAUCAGCAACUCCAUGUCUUGAUAGUAUUCUUCAACAGUUCGUGUUCCUUGGGUAAGUCUUCGCAGCUUUUGAUGUAGGUCGCGGUGAUAAUGGCUUGGAACAAACCGUUUGCGCAUGAGUGACUUCAUCUCGUGCCAUGAAUCAACCGGAUUCUCUUGGUUAAGCCGUCUAGUAGUUACAAGUUGCUCCCACCAACUCAACGCAUAAUCAUAGAAUUCAGUUGCUGCAAUCUUGAUCCUUUGGGCAUUAGAGUAGUGUUGGCAAUUGAAGACAAGCUCGAUCUUCUUUUCCCAUUCCAAGUAGGCAUCUGGAUCUACCUUGCCAUGGAAGGGUGGAAUCUUAAGCUUAAGUCCUGAAAGCUUGUCUUUGCGUGACCCCCUUCCAUCAUGUUCACGCCUUGAUCUUCCUCUGCUCAGUUCAGAAGAAGAACUACUGCGCUCAGUUGGGUUGUGCUCAGUUCUAUUGCGCGAGUAGUAGUUGUCGGUCUCUUGUGAACCCGCAUGCUCUUGCCGUACUGGAGUAGGCCGGUUUCUUCUAGACUCAUUGCUAUGUGCCUGGCCAGUAGCUUGCCUCAACUCUUGUCUCAUCUCCUCACGUAAUUCCUUCAUGCUAGCCUUGAGCAUAUCAGCCAUAGUAGAGAUCAUGGUCUGAUUCAUUUGCUCGGUCAUUUGAUCUCUCAGCAUCUUGUUCUUCCUUACUAGCUCGGCUUCUUCUUCUGAUUCUUUCCCCAUUGGUACCUAGAAUCAACAGCAAAACUCAACCAGUAAAUAAUUCUAAUUAAACUGAUCGUAAUCAGUAGAUGAUCAAGAGAUUUUAAACUGAAAUAAACUGGCGGUAAACAGAAAACUUGAUUAUCAAGUAACGAGAAUUCAAAUCGACAACAAGUAAAUCACAAUAGAAACGCGAUCAGGGUAGGUUUGUUAAUCAGAUUUCGAUGUCUCACAAGUAGAUCUAGUUGUUAUAGGUGAUUUAAAACAGAUCUCACAAUCAAUCAGAUUCAAACAAGAGAUCAAAUUGAGAAUAUGAAUCGAUAAUCGAUCGGAUCUAGAAACGCGAAACCUAGAUCUAUCAAUUCAAAACUUCUUACCAAUUUGAUCGACACAAAACGAUUAAAUCACACAAUCAACAACAAUGGUUUACAGAUCAAUCAAUGGAUAUUGCGAAUCAAAGAACAGAUCAGUUGAAACAAAACGGAUAGAUCUAAAACUGAUCAAGAAGAUGAACAGGUUAAAUCGAAACAAAAGAGAAACGAGUACUUCCCUAACCAGAGAUGCUCUGAUACCACAUAAUACGUCCCUAGAUUGCUUCUCUGGAUAGUAUGGGAUAGAUCCUUGCUAGAACGAAUCAAAGACUCAAGCUCUACAAGGUUGUGGAUCGAUUGGUGACACAAGAGGCUGCGGAAAGGCUCCUUGAUACUCCUAAGUGACUAGUUCGGAUAUGACACACCGAGAUAGACACUCUUGGGUUGUUGGAUACUACACACCAACAAGAACACUCAACAACUCGCGGACAAGCAGUAGAGAGAACAAAGAAAGGUUUAUGAUAAAAGAUAAUUGAUUAUUGAUAAGGGGUUCAAAGUGCACUUAUAUAAGAGAAGUUGGAACAGACUCCAAGCUUCUCGAAAACUAUCAAGAGAGUAAAGGCACACGCUCUCUUGGAAAUAGAAACAAGUGACAAGUUUGAAAACCAAAAACAUGAAAUGAAAUACAUAAUAUAACAUAAGGUUGAUCCGGGAUAAGGUUGGAUCGAGAUCAUCAACUAAAGGUUUUGAGAAGCAAAUCUAUGGCCUCGUUAAAAACCUAUCUUUGGAAAACCCAUUGGGACAAAACCAAAGAUAGGGAAAAAGAGCACGCAUAGAUUGCUUGCUUAGUUGAUGAUCAGCUUGAUGGUGAAGUAGCUUGAAUGGUGAUAAGUGUGUCUUGGUUGAUCAAGCUUCUACCAAGACAUUCCUCUUGGUUCCAUGACAUCUUAACCAAUCCUCCAAUAACUUGCGUGAGCUUCCUUGAUCUUGAUCGAGUCAUAGCUUCCAUGACCUCUUAACCAAUCCUCCAAUAACUUGCAUGAGCUUCCUUGAUCUUGAUCGAGUCAUAGGUCCUUUAGGCAAGGCUAGAACAUCUCCAUCAGUUGGCUUAUCCAGAUCCUUAUUAUCUCCAUUAGCUAGUUGGUCCAUGAUCACAUCAUCCCCUCCCUCUUGAAAAGGAUUUGUCCUCAAAUCUGGCUCAUCUGCAACAAAAGGGAUCAAGUCAGUAACAUUCAUCUGCAAUAAAAGGGAUCAAGUCAGUAACAUUGAAGCUAUCACUUAGGUCGUACUUACCUUGCAGAUCAAGUUUGUAGGCAUUGUCAUUGAUCCUCUUGGUGACUUCAAAAGGGCCAUCAAUCCUCGGCAUUAGCUUAGACUUCCUCUCUUUUGGAAACCUUUCUUUCCUCAAGUGAACCCAUACUUGAUCUCCAACUUCAAAGAUCAUCUCACGCCUUCCCUUGUUGGCUUGUUUGGCGUAUUGCUUAGUUUUCUCUUCUAGAUUGCGCUUAGCUUGCUCAUGAAUCUGCUGAACCAUCUCAGCUUUCUUUUUCCCAUCCAUACUAACCCUUUCACACUCAGGUAAAGGUAUUAGAUCCAAAGGUGAGAUGGGAUUGAACCCAUAAACAAUUUCAAAAGGAGAAAACUUAGAAGCAGAAUGCAUAGCAUGAUUGUAUGCAAAUUCACAAUGAGGCAAGUAAUCUUCCCAUGAUUUCAAGUUCUUUUUGAUGAAUGCACGCAGGAGAGUACCUAAGGUUCUAUUAACUACUUCAGUCUGCCGAUCAGUUUGUGGAUGACAAGUAGUAGAAAACAAUAGCUUAGUUCCUAGUUUAGACCACAAUGUUUUCCAAAAGUAGCUAAGGAAUUUAGUGUCUCUAUCUGAAACUAUAGUCCUAGGCAUUCCAUGCAAACGUACCACUUCUUUAAAGAACAAAUUAGCUACAUGUAAUGCAUCAUCAGUUUUAUUGCAAGCUAUGAAAUGUGCCAUUUUAGAGAAUCUAUCAACAACCACAAAGAUAGAAUCCUUUCCAGUCCUAGUUCUAGGCAAUCCCAUAACAAAAUCCAUAGAUAUAUCAUUCCAAGGAUGAGUAGGAAUAGGCAAAGGAGUAUACAAACCGUGGGGUUGAACUUUAGACUUUGCAAGCUUGCAAGUUGUGCACCUUCCACAGAUUCUCUCCACAUCUCUUUUCAUAUGCGGCCAAUAGAAGUGAUCCUGCAAAACUUUAAGGGUUUUUGCUAUACCAAAAUGACCCAUCAAGCUUCCUCCAUGGGAUUCUCUGACAAAUAGAUCUCUCAAAGAGCAAUUAGGCACACAUAAACGAUUGUCAUAGAAUAAGAAUCCAUCAUGCCUAAAAUAAUGUCCUGAAGCAUACUUAGCACAUGAUUUAUAAGCUUCUUGAAAGUCAGGAUCAGAUUCAUACAUUUCUUUAAUCUGCUCAAAGCCUAGCAACUUAGCAUCAAGAGUAGUUAAGAGGACAUACCUUCGGGAUAGUGCAUCAGCAACUAUAUUCUCCUUACCUUGUUUGUAUUUGAUCACAUACGGGAAGGUUUCAAUGAAUUCUACCCAUCUAGCAUGUCUCUUGCUGAGCUUACUUUGUCCUUUAAGAUACUUGAGAGAUUCAUGGUCGGUGUGAAUGACAAACUCCUUUGGCCAGAGAUAGUGCUGCCAAGUCUGUAGAGCUCUCACCAAGGCGUAGAGUUCUUUGUCAUAAGUGGCAUAGUUGAGAGUAGCUCCACUGAGUUUCUCACUGAAGUAAGCAAUAGGUCUUUUAUCCUGCAUCAACACAGCACCAAUCCCAAUUCCUGAGGCAUCACAUUCUAUUUCAAAUGUUUUAGAAAAAUCAGGAAGUAUGAGAAGAGGAGAUUGAGUAAGCUUCUCUUUAAGGAGUUGGAAUGCGGCUUCUUGAACUUCUCCCCACUUGAAUCCUACAUCCUUCUUGAUUAUCUCAGUUAGGGGAGCUGCUAGAGUGCUGAAAUCCUUCACAAAGCGCCUAUAGAAACCUGCCAGUCCAUGAAAACUCCUUACUUCUCCCACUGUAGUUGGACUCGGCCACUCUUGUAUUGCUUUGAUCUUUUCCUGAUCCACCUUUACACCAUCUGCACUUACAACAAAACCUAGAAAGACCAAGUUAUCUGUGCAAAAAGUGCACUUCUUUAGAUUGGCAUAUAGCUUUUCCUUUCUCAAAACAUCCAAAACAGCCCUAAGAUGUUCUAUAUGAUCUUCUAAGCAUUUGCUGUAAACUAAGAUAUCAUCAAAGUACACAACAACAAAGAUGCCUAUGAAAGACCUAAGAAUAUGAUUCAUCAAUCUCAUGAAUGUACUAGGCGCAUUGGUUAAUCCAAAUGGCAUAACUAACCAUUCAUACAAGCCAUGUUUAGUUUUAAACGCAGUUUUCCACUCAUCUCCUUCUUUCAUCCUAAUCUGAUGAUAUCCACUUUUCAAAUCUAUCUUAGAAAAGAUGCAAGACCCAUGUAAUUCAUCAAGCAUAUCAUCUAAUCUAGGAAUAGGGUGGCGAUACUUCACUGUUAUGUUGUUGAUUGCUCUACAAUCAACACACAUGCGCCAGCUCCCAUCUUUCUUUGGCACAAGGAGCACUGGAACUGCACAAGGACUCAAACUCUCUCGGAUAUGACCCUUCUCCAUCAGCUCCUCUACUUGUUUUUGCAGUUCUUUGGUUUCAACUGGAUUGGUCCUGUAUGCUGGACGGUUGGGCAGUGUAGAACCAGGUACAAAGUCUAUUUGGUGCUCAAUCCCACGCACUGGAGGCAAUCCAAUGGGGCUAUCUUCUGGAAACACAUCUGCAUACUUCUGUAAAAGAGAAACUAGUUCACUCGGAUGAUCCGGUGUGUGAUCAGUAACUGUUAGAAGAGUCCCUUUAAACAUAAGCAAGAUAAUAGAAUUUUGAGAGUAGAGAAUUCUUUUGAUAUCUCCCUGUUUGGCAUAGAGGCUGUGAUGCUUGUCAUGAUCAGGUUUGAGAUCAAUCUCUUUCGCUUUCUUUUUCUGAAGCUGGAUUUGAUCUUCAUGAACCUCUUUAGGAGACAAAGGCACCAGCACAGUCUUCUUUCCGUUGAAUUCAAAUGAGUGUUUGUUGGUGAAGCCAUCAUGAUUCACACGCCUAUCAUACUGCCAGGGUCUUCCAAGGAGUAUAUGACUGGCUUCCAUUGGCAACACAUCACACAGGACUUCAUCUUCAUAUCUACCAAUGGCUAUAGGUAUGACUUUUAGGAAUGUAAAGAAUUAUCUGAGUUUAGAAAGGAUUAGAGAACGAGAAUAAGAGAUUAAGAGACAACUUAGAGACUAAUGGAGAAUCAUAGUGAAAUGUGUAAAGAGAAAGAUUGUUUAGAACUGUCUAAUCUUUAUUAAGAGAUGAGAUUACAUAUAUAUAGGUCCAUACACUUAGGGUUUUCGAAAUCAUAAAGCUAAGUAAGCAUGUAGAGUCAAAGAGGAGCCUAAGCUUUAAUUUGAACCGGCCAAUGAGUGUCUUCACACGUUUGGAGCAUCUUCUUGAUCCAAGACUAGAUGCUCUUCCUUUCCAGCUCUUGCCAGCCUGUCCUAGCUGUCAAGCCGCGUCUCCCUUAUCCUCUCAACGUUCGGAUAAGGUCUUGGCCGAGUGUAACUUAUGCUCAGUACAUGGGAGUUACUUGGAUAGUUACUGGAUCCCUUUUUACCUUGUACGGAUGAUCACUUGUACGGCCUUGUACGGAUGAUCAACCCAUUCCUCCUCUUCACCUCUUUGCUCUCUUUAUGUUCUCAACUCCUUUGUGUCUUUACCUCAAAUGUCUCAACUCUGAUUAACACUCCCCCUCAAGCUUAGCUUUGUGAAAGUCUAAGCUUGGACAGCCAUGAGAUCUUCCUCAUUAAAAACCUUACCAAGGAAAACCCAUUGGGAUAAAACCUUGAUAAGGGAAAAAGAGUAAAGACCUCACAGCCAAAGGGGAUCAGCUCCUUCUCUUCCCAAGAUCAAUGAGGCCCAACCUGAUGUGAAUGGACUCUAUUGUCUUCUGUCUUGCAGCCUUGGUGAACACAUCCGCUAACUGAUCUUCACUUCUUGUGUAGCAUGGCAAGAUGACUCCUAAGAUGAUCAUCUGCCUCACCUUGUGACAAUCCACUUCAAUGUGCUUGGUUCUCUCAUGGAACACCGAGUUGGAGGCAAUGUGGAUGGCAGCUUGGUUAUCACAAUGCAUUGUCAUUGGCGUGGCUUGAUCAAUCUCCAAAUGCUUCAAGAUGCCCUUGAUCCACACCAGCUCGUUGGUCAGCUUCAGCAUAGCUCUAUACUCAGCUUCUGCACUUGAGCAAGACACCACCUUCUGCUUCUUACUCUUCCAAGUAACCAAGUUGCCUCCAAUGAAUGUGCAAUAGCCUGUGGUUGAUCUCCUGUCUGCUCUAUCACCAGCCCAAUCCGCAUCACAGUAUCCAACCACUUCAGUGCUCCCAUUGCAACCCAUCCAUACUCCUUGAUCAGGUGAGCCGUUGAGAUACAUCAAGAUCCUCUCCACCAUGCGCCAAUGAUGUUCCUUAGGCACUUGCAUGUGUUGACUCACCUGAUUCACAGCAAAGCAAAUGUCAGGCCUAGUUAUGGUAAGGUAAAUCAAUUUGCCAACUAGCUUUCUAUAGAGUUUAGGAUCCUGAUAAGGUUUGCUGUCUUCAAUCUCCCCCUCUCGUGGGACUUUGUAGCCAUCCUCCAUAGGCAUCCUUGCUGUCUUGCCUCCAUAAGCACCUGCACCUUUCAAAAGAUCAAGUGUAUACUUCCUUUGGGACAUGAACAAACCUUCCUUGGAUCUACAUAUCUCAAUUCCAAGAAAGUCUUUCAUUUCUCCCAAGUCUUUAAUCUCAAACAUGGAUUUAAGGAACUCCUUGGUUGCUAUGAUACCUUCCUUAUCACUUCCUGUGAUAAUGAUAUCAUCAACAUACACAAGGAGUGCAAUCAUACCUGAGGAAGUAGUGAGAGUGAAGAGGGUGUGGUCUAGUUCAGACUUCUUGAAGCCUCGUCCAUUCAGAGUAGUACUCAGCUUGUUGUACCAAGCUCUUGGUGAUUGCUUCAGUCCAUAGAUAGCUUUCUUCAGUCUCAACACAUUCCCUCUCUUCACUAAGUGUUCCAAGCCUGGAGGUGGAUGCAUAUACACUUCAUCCUCCAGCUCUCCUUGUAGAAAUGCAUUCUUCACAUCCAUUUGCCAUAAGCCCCAUCCAAGAUUCACAGCCAAGCUUAAUACAAUCCGGAUUGUGUGCAGUUUAGCUACUGGUGCAAAGGUCUCAAUGUAAUCCUCUCCAUAAGUUUGAGUGAAACCUCCUGCAACCAGUCUUGACUUCUUCCUCUCAACUGUUCCAUCAGCCUUAUACUUGAUUGUGAAGAUCCAUCUACUAGUCACAGCCUUCUUCCCUUUUGGUAACUCACUCUCAUACCAUGUAUCAUUCUUGAUCAUAGCUCCUGCCUCAGCUCCAACUGACUCCUUCCAUUCUUUAUCCAUGAUUGCUUCUUCAUAGCUUCUUGGGAUGUAGUUCUCAUCCAAGUUAACCAUGAAGGCACAAUGUUCUUCAGGGUAUUGAGCAAAGGAACACACAACUUGAGAAGGAUGCUCCACAGCUUGGGCAUUGUAGUACACUCGCGUGUUUACCCAAGAGGAAGGAUCCUUUCUCAGCCUUGUGCUCCUCCUCAAUACUGGUUGUUCUUGCUCUUGAACCGGCUCAGCUUGUGUAUGCGGUUCUUGUGCUUCACUCUGAUGUUCUUCCUCUCCUUGGUCUUGCUCACCUUGAUGAUGAGAACCUGAGUUGAACUCUCCUUCCUCACUCAAGCCGACUCCUUCUUGGCCAUUUUCUUGAGUUUCAGGUUCACUUCCCCCCUCAUGAUCAAGGUGAGGUGUUUGAGCAGCUCCACUUGGUGCAGUUGAGCUCUCUUCUUGUCUUCCACUUCUUGUGGAUUGAUCCUGGUUCAUCUUGAUACCGAGACCUUCCAAAAUGAUUCUUAAGACUCCAGCCUUAUCUGAUGUGAGAUCCUUCAAAUCUUCUUGAUUCUUCUCCUCAUAGUAUCCUCUUUCUUCAAUGAACUUCACAUCUCUAGAUACAAGCACCCUUCUAGCUUCUGGAUCAUAACACUUAUAUCCUUUUUGAGUUGUUGAGUAGCCAAUGAACAUUGCCUUUCUGCUUCUUGCUUCUAGCUUGUUCCUCAACUCUCCUGGUACUAAAACAUAGCAUAAGCAUCCAAACACUCUCAUGUAUUCCAAGGAUGGCUUGCGCUUGUUCAGAACUUCAAAUGGUGCUUGAUCCUUCAACACCUUUGUAGGCAUCCUGUUGAUUAGAUAGCACGCAGUGGAUACAGCAUCACUCCAGAAUCUCUUUGGUACAUUCGCUUGGAACAUCAGUGACCGAGCCACUUCCAUCAAGUGCCUGUUCUUCCUCUCAGCUACACCAUUCUGUUGUGGUGUGUAGGGACAGCUUGUUUGAUGAAGGAUUCCAUGGUGAUCUAGAUGACUCUUGAACGCAUAGCUUGUGUACUCUCCUCCAUUAUCUGAUCUCAAAAUUUUAAUCCUAGCAUGAUAAUGGUUAGUCACAUAAGCUUGAAAGUUCUUGAAUGCAUCUAUCACCCUAUCUUUUGAUGGAAUGAGUGUUAACCAGGUGUAUUUAGAUUUUUCAUCAAUGAAUGUGACAAAAUACUUAUGAUUAUCUCUAGAAAAACUAGGUGCAGUCCACACAUCAGUAUGAAUCAAAUCAAAGCAAUUUUCAUAAACAGUAGAUGUUCUUGGAAACACAUUCUUACAAUGCUUGCCUAAAAUGCAAGCCUCACACUUAUUAUUUUCAAAAACCACACCUGGUAACAUCAAGUUUAAAGCCCUCUCAUGGGGAUGACCUAAUCUAGCAUGCCACAAUGCAUUUUUAUUCAAACUAGAAGCAGAAGUAAAUGAGCAGUUAUAAUUGGAAACAGGAUCAAGCUUCUCAAGCAUGUAUAAGUCUCCCUUUGUAACUCCUUUUCCAAUCAAUUGGCUGCUCUCAAUAUCCUGAAACUUCACAUCAUUAGGACUGAAUAUAACAUUGCAAUUCAAAUCAGUAGUGCAUUUCUUAACUGAAAGAAGUUUGAUGUGAAUUCCGGAAUGUAAAAUGCUCUAGUGUUCUUAUCAAAUAGUUUUAAGUUUCCUAUUCCCUUAAUAGGUAUCUUAUCCCCAUUUGCAAUCAUCACACAUCCAUUAGUAGGUUCUAUAUCCUUAAUCAAGUUGGUGUCACUAAUCAUAUGAUGAGAUGCACCUGAAUCUAUAAUCAAUGGUUUGGAUGUAUUGCUAGCACUAUGGCAGAUGCUAAUUUGUGAUCUAUAUGCAUUCAUCCUAGCAUUUCUAUCAAUGCAAUGCUCAAUUCCAGUCUUACUAUCAAUCCUAGCAAUCUCAGCCACAUUAGGAGUCAUUUCUAUAGUUCUAGCAAUCAUAGAAGCACCAAAUGAAUACCCAUGAAUGUUACCAUUAUCCUUGAGCAUUUUGAUGAGUGCAUCCAUCUCGGAUCUCCUGAUGAAGUCUUGAUCAUUGCCUCGGGGGUUGAUAGCUCCAGUAUAGGUCACCAAAGCCUUUCCAUCUCCUUCACGGUUCUCCACUUCAGCUCCUCGGUUAGAUGGCCCUGCUCCGCUUGAUCCUUCAGUCAUGUGAGCUUUUGCCUCUCUCUCCUUCAUGAACUUAGCCGGCUUCAAGUGGGGAUGGAGUAUCCAGCACUGACUCUUCUUGUGUCCAUGCUUCUUGCAAUGAUCACAAUUCCCAUUGAACUUCCUAUCCUCAUACUUGUUGUAACCAGCUUUGUUGGCUUGUGGAGGCUCUUCCCGGUCAGGUUGCACAGCAUUUGCAAGAGAUAAGUCUCCCUUGCCUCCAAACAAACCCAUCGAGCCCUGUUCCUUCUGUAUCUUAGCACACACCUCUUCAAGGUCAGGCAGCUUCUCAGACCAUAGCAUGUGCUGGAUGAGGCCACUGUAACUUGCAUUCAACGUGAGCAGCAACCCAAAGACCUUGUCCUGCUCACGCCUCUCAUUUAGAAGCUCUGGAUCAACCGUGCUUGGCCUCAGAAUCUCCAACUCAGACCAAAGAGACCUGAACCUCCCCAAGUGCUUAGUGAACUCCGUGUCAUCUUGAGUUAACCCAUUGAUUGCCUUCUUGACUUCAAACACUCGGUUCAGGUUAGAAGUGUUUCCAUACACUUUCUGUAAAGUAUCCCACAGCUCCUUGGCUGUCUCACAGUAGCUAUAAGCAUCUAGUAUAGCCGGCUCCAAAGAGGCAUGAAGGACUGACAUCACCAUCAUGUCUUCUUGUUGCCACUUCUCUACAACACUCUCCUCGGGGCUCUCCUUUUCACCCUCCUG
rnacentral:lncRNA from 1 species